rnacentral:lncRNA from 1 species
UGUGUUUGUGUUGUGGAUCAUGCUUUACUUCUUUACUGCAUUCUUAUAGAUCAUUUAAUCACAUUUGUUUAAAAUCAAGAAAACUUUUAUAAUCCUCAAUAGAUAAAAUUAAAGAAUCUAAUUUUAAUUAGAACCUAAUUCAUCCCUCCCUCUUGGGUUGUCUUUUGGGCAACAAAUUAAAACAUUAUAAAUUUCAUCAUCAUUCUAGGAGUCAAGCGAAGUCAAAAUUAAAAUACUAUUGGAGGUACAACCUCAUGGCCAAAUUAGAUUAGUCAAGUGGCAGUGCAUGACUACCUAGGUUGGUCUGAACAAGGUAAACUAAACCGAUCAAAUGAAUAUCAAUAAGGUCCAAAUUUCAAAAGAUCUAACUAGGGUUGAAGUAAUGGGCCGGUCUACCGCCUGAGUACGAAGGUGGUUUAGGGUCUCCAAACUGGAUCAACUUAAAUUCGAAUAAUAAAGAAGCAAAACUUACACUGGGAUCCCUAAGCCUGUCUAAAGAGAGAAAGAGGGAGAGGAGAGAGAAUCUCAGCUCGAAUUCAACUCGGGGUCUAGGUUUGGUCCGUUGAUGGCACAUGCCAUCCUCGAUCAUCAACAAAUCCAGUCCACGAGUCAAGUAUAGAGAGAAAGUGGUGAAGAGAGAAAAAAGAGCAGAAUUAGAGAGAGAAGAGAAGGAGAGAGAGAAAAGAGGAGAGAGAGAAACUCUCCCCUCUCUUCACGAACAGCCCGCCUCUUCCUCUCUUCCUCCUCGCAAAUCUAAGGGGGUGGCGGCCCUAGUGCCCCCUCCCUCCCACUUGACAGUAGCUACGGCGGCCGCAGCCUAGGCCAACCAGCGGCCGGCGACGGUCAAAUAGGGAGGAUGAAGACUGAAAUAGGACGAACAAGUCCGGCAACAAAAGAGAAGAAAGAGGAGGAGACUUACCUCGAUUCGGCGAGGCGCUUCGGCGGCUCUCCGGGAACGAAUCGAGGAAGAAGGAUCUAGAAGAGAGCUUAGAUUUUAUGGUGAUUUCUCUCCUAAUCUUUGACGAUUCUUAAAGGUGAAGGAUGAGAACUUAAAUAGGCAAGAUCGGGUCUUCAAAUUGCCUUGAAAUUUCUAGUUUUUCAGCUCGAUUUCAAUCAAAAUCGAGAAACAGAAGACUCCGAUCGGAAGUCUUCUUCUCUAAUUUUUCCUCAAGUGAGGUAUUGCGGGUCGUGGGCCUGACCACUCUGGGCCGGCCCACAAACGGUUGGCUGGCCAAGGCAACUUCGGUUGGGGUUGGCCAGGGCAACUCGGAUUGGCCUGGCUGCUCCGAGCUUGCCCACAAACCCAAAAAAAAAUCUGGGCUAUUACACAACCACCAAUUUGGCAACUUCCCGAUCAACAGAAGUGUAAUUUUUGGAACAAAGCUAUGAAUUGCAUCAAUUCCAUCUGCCACCAGACAUGAGACUUGUUUGUUCGGGAAUUGUUUGACAUUGCUCUUAUCCUACCAUCCAGAAUUAUUCUUUGACAUACCCAAAUUCCAUUGUCGUCUUAUCAUCAAAAAAUGAUUGUACAUUUCAUUUUUGUCGAGGCUCGACAACCAAAGUAUUCUGCACGAUACUAAAAAAUGUUGUACCUUGCAUGUUAAAUCCAAAUUUAUGCAACUUUCACAACAAUAUGACCUCUAAACUGCAACAAUGCAAGUUUGCUGGUUCCUCAUGGUCUUAAGCAUUACACUUUGGGUUUCAGAUACCACGAGCAUCUUGUUAUUGUUCUCGGGGUUGGGUAUCAAUUUUCCAUUCCAAUUCAUUUCUAUGCUUGGUAAAUCAUUUAGGCACACAAACCUUGAUUCUGAUCAAUAUUAAUAUUUUGUUAGAAACCUAACNNNNNNNNNNNNNNNNNNNNNNNNNNNNNNNNNNNNNNNNNNNNNNNNNNNNNNNNCCUAAUCCUGGAUACGUGUCACAUAAAAAGAGACUUAUUAUAUAUUAUGUUUAGUUAUGCAUAACAAAAAAAUAUAUUAGAAUAAUAUGUAAUAUUUGUUACAAAAAUAAUAUAAUACUAAAUAUUGUUAUAUAUCAACAAUAUAUGAUAGCAUAAUUGAUAUCGCUUAUUUAUCAUAAGAAAAUUUAUUGUCAUAUGCAAUAUUUACAUAUUACAUAAACAUAAGAUAUAAUGCUAUGACAUGUAUAAUUUUAUUUUAGAUUACUAGUAAACAUGCCCAGGCACAUUGAACGAAAAUACUCAAAGAUAAUUUUAUUUUUUAAUAUUGUUAAGUAGAUAACAAGAAUUUUGAUUUUCAAGUAGGAGGAGUUUUAGAUAUAAGCUUUGAAGCAAGUCUAUUGAUAUGUUGUCUGUACAUUUAUGGUUGUAGAUUUUGUAUAUGUUGCCAAAGCAAUUGCAUUCACUCAAUUUAUGUAGUAUUUGAUCCAUGCAACAUAUGAAAAUGAUCUUAGUGAAAUAGUAUUCACACAUCACAAUUUCUAUCCACGAAUACAAAUUCUUUUUGUUUUUAAUAAGAAAUAAGUGCACUAAAAACUCUACUGCCACACGAACAUACCAGGCGCAGCGCCAUUCGCCAUUAGUCGCCUCACAUCUUCGCCACGUGUCAUCUGUCAUGACCAAAUCCUCCUCUCUCCAUGCCUCUUUCCACUCACAAUCCCCGCCACUCCCUCCCUCCAACUGCCAACCCCUCUCUCUUUUCUCUCUCUCUCUCUCUCUCCUCCCAUGACCCAAUCCUUAUCCCUGUAUCCUUCUUCCACUCACAACCUCUCCAACUGCCAACUCCUCCCUUUAUCCUCCUAUCCCCAGAGUUAUUCCUCCAUUCCUCUUUCCUUCACCACCAACCUUCAGUUAAAGUUUUAGAUUAAACCAAGGAAAAUUUUCUCACAAUUUUCCUCCUUUCUCCUCUAGUCCUGUGUUCCAAAAUCCCUGACCAAAUCCCAGUCUCCAGAAAAAUUAAACAAGAAAUUCCAAUCUCCAAAAUAAAGAAAAGGAAACGUACCGAAGAAGAAGUAAAGGGAUGUCAGGUGGAGUAGGCCCCACGGCCGGCGGCGACGACAUCCGGCUGCCGAAAGAGGAGGAGGAGAAGAAGAAGGUGGAGUACCACCAGCCCGCCGCCGCCGCCCAAUCCCCACGCCGCCGAUUCUUCUCCCUCCGGCAGCUUAACGCCCUCGCCGUCGUCAUCGUCCUCUCGGCCUCCGGCAUGGUUUCAGCCGCCGACAUCGCCUUCGCCCUCUUCUCCCUCGUCUACCUUCACCUCCUCUCCUCCGCCGCCUUCCCCCGCUCCUCCUCCUCCGCCGCCGCCCCCGAUCCCCCGAUCUUCGGCUUCCGCAACCCCCUCCUCGCCAUCUACGUCUCCGUCGGCGCCCUCCUCGGUCUCCUCCUCCCCAUCGCCUACAUACUAGACGGCGUUCUCGCCGGCGACAAGGAGGGCAUCAAGGCCGCCGCUCCCCACGUCUUCCUCCUCGCCGCCCAGGUCUUCCUCGAGAACGUCACCUUCUCCGGCCGCUUCUCCCUCCCCAUACGCGCCUUCGUCCCCAUCUUCUACAACACCAAGCGCCUCUUCACCCUCGCCGACUGGGUCCGCCACGAGAUCGGCAAGGUCGAGGACGAUCACGGCUCGCCGAGGAGGUUGUUCGCCGGCCGGGCGCUCGCCGUCGCCAAUAUGGGAUUCUGGGCCUUCAACCUGUUUGGCUUUUUGCUCCCCGUCUAUCUCCCCAGGGUCUUCAAGAGAUACCACUGCGGUAGUUACGAUAAUAAUAAUAAUAAUAAUAAGAAAGAGGGCCUCAAAGCUAAAUAAUUAUCUGUUAUCUAUCAAUCUAUCUAUUGUUACCAUAUGAUCUUAGAUGCUCUUUUGUUCUUCCUAGUUUUUCUUCUUCUUUUUUUUUUCUUUCUUCUACGUCUAAGCACUUGUGAUGGAUUUUUCUUUUCUUGAGUCUUGGUUUAGUGUAAUUUGGAUUGAAGGCAAUUAAUAAGAAUUGUAUGUGGAUUGGAUUCUUCUUCUUCUUCUUCUUUUGAGUGUCAAGGCGAUUUGGAAAAAGAAAUGCAGUGUGGAAAAUGUAACUUACCAGGCUUGCAGCUAGCAAAAUGUUGUACAUGCUUCUAUUGUAUUAUAAUUGUAGUCAAGUGCAUUAUCUAGUAGGUGUUAGGCGAGCAAGAAGUUAUGUUAAAGGCUUACCAUUGAAAAAUGUGAAACAAAGAUGGCUUGUUAGUCAUUUGGGAAUGAUGUCAUGAUUUUCAAAAGUUAGAAUAACUUGCUGUUGUUGAGCAAGCAUCUUGAAAAUGUUUCGAGGCCAGAAAUUUCAGCAGCAAUGGGAGUUUCGGAAGCAAGGUGGCAUGACUCUUCGGACAGGUGAUGAAUCUCAAUCAAGUUCUAGUGCUGAACCUGUCCUUAAGAAACUGAAACAAAUAUCAGAUUUGAUAGUCAGCUAAAUCUGAAAAGCAUGGUGAGAUUAACUCUUCAAAAUUCUUAAAAAGAAAGAGACUUGACAACGUCAACAAAGUCAAUAUCAUGAAAUAUAAGAAAGAAGCUGAAGGUGGAUGUAAUAGAACUUAUGAAGACAAUUACAUAGGUCAUGAAAAAUCAUGAUGUAAAGAUAAUAUAAAGAACAAAAAGGGCAGGAGUGAACUAGCCAGUAAUUCCAUAUGUAUGCAGAGUAUAUUGGAAGAACUUAAGAGUUGCAGGAGAAGAUAUGCUGCUUAUAUGGAUCAAAGGAGAAAUGCAGAGAUUGCUGAGUGACAUGACUUCAAAGCAAAUAGCAGAAGAUCACUGUGCUAAGUGGAAAAUUCAACAUCAUAGUAGGUAAAGUCCAUCUUAAAUGUUCAGAACUGCUAGAGAGGAGGUCCAGUUAUAUCUGCAGAUGGUGUGUCUGUUGUUAGCAAAGAAACAGUCUGUUGAAAUUCGAGAAAAUUCACUAAAGAUGAUAUCAAGUCACAGUGUAGUUCCAACAUCAACUGCUUUCUUAUCUUCUCCAACUGUGUUACAAAAAAAAAAAAGUAUGGGAAAAGACAAAUGAAGUUACAAGCAAGCACUUCAAAGUUCUUAAAGAGAUCAACUGGAAAAGAUCGCAAUAUUCACCAGAUGGCUUCCCAUGGUCUAAUUUGUAGUGGUUCAAAUAACCAUACUCAGUUUCAUCCAUGGUCCAUGCCUAAAGUUAAAAGUUGUGCAGGCCAAUGAAAGGAUCUAGAUUCAGAUUGCUAUUCUGCUCUUGAUUCUUAACAAUUUCAUAGCUUUAGAAUGUGCAACAAAGUGCAGAGCCAGUUGGAAAGGCCAGUUUGUUGGUAUUUCGCGGCAGUUCAUCUAUAUACAAGAAGUACCAACUAUUUGUACUGAAUGAUGGGUUCAAGGCAGCAAAUACAUCAAAUGCUUGUAUUAAGACAGCCCUAGUGCAUAGCUCAGAUAAGUAAGUUACAUUCUGUGGCUUCUUUAUUUACUAUAUUUCCUUUUGACUCUGCCUUCUUUGGAUCAUUUUGAUAUAUACCUGUGAAGUUUGAGGGAUUAAAGUAGUUGAAUAGGUAGGGAACAUAACAUGGUUGCUUAAUUAAAACUCACAUUAGCAUGUCAUCUAGAUUAUAUCUUUCACAUGCAACUAACACAUUUUUUCUUUCAUAGCCAAUAAAUCCAGAACACUUCUUUUAGAACUGUAGGACCAUGAAAUUCCAUAUCCUAUUUUAUGAAACUACAAGUGCUAAUUCUGAGGUCUUUUAUCAUGAAUAAGUAAUAAUAUUGAGUAACGAAAGCCAUUUCUACACAUACUGUAAUUCUGGUGACUGGUAUACUAAAGGGUACUAAUUUUAUCAAUACUCCAAUCUACCUUUCAAAUGCUGUCCCUAUGUCAAUUAUUCUUUUUUCCAUAAAAUUUCAAGAGUGGCUUUCAUUAUUUUUUAAUGAAGUACUAUAUAUUAAGGUACGUCGAGAGAAGUCCUCCUCCCCCCCAACUAACAUUCCUUCAGAGUUUAAUGCUUGAUGCAAGCUGCAAUUCAGUUGUAUAAACAUUUCAAUCAUGGAUUAGAUCCUAACUGAUGUUAUUACUAUUUUAGGGCAAAUCUGGACAUCUAACCAGCAGAUUCCUGCAAUAUAUUUCCUGCAAGGGGGAAGUUUUUUUCUUCUUGAAAAGAAAAAGGUGGAAGGACAAUGAAAUCUGAGGAUUGGGGGAAUCUGUAGAUUUUAAUAUCUUAAAUUCUUUGGGAUAGUGAAAAAUCAUCUUCUUGGAUGGAUUUUGGUGUGCUGAAGAACUUGAAACUGAGUUCAAUGGCCUUGCUCUCUAGAUUCCUCACAUUUUCUCUUCUUUCCCUUUCCCCAUUCAUCAACUCACAUCCAUGUGGGUGAUAUUUGAAGAGUAACUUCAUGACUGAAAGUAUCUUCAAAAGAACUAGCGCACUCUCCAAGUCCCGAGCAACUAUGCAUCCAGAUCUGAAAAAUAUAGCAAUUAUAAUAAUGAGCUAUAUUAGCCCGAUAAGCAAUAUAAUACCCCAAAAUGGAUCAAUGCAACAUAAUAUUGACUAAGAAAUAAAUUAUUUCUCGAAUAAUACAUAUUUUUUUUUGAAGUAUACUAUUGUUUUUACAAAGAAAUACUAGAAACCAGAUAUCAAGCUAUAGCCACGUUACCCAGUGGCAUGGGUUAGAAUGCACAACAUGCCAAACACCACUAUUAUUAUCCACUGGUAGUACGGUGUCCAAAUACCACUAUUUUAAUCACCGGUGGUGCGAUAUCGAAACCAGUUUCUCAUAGAUUACAAGUCGACGGGGCCAACGAAUAAUCUCUAUCGGCGGAGCCAGAUCAUAGUCAUGCUGAGAAUGCAUAUAUAUACAAAAUAAAUUUUAUCGAGACUUAUUUUUCAUAUUUCAAAACAUAACAAUGAUAUAUUUUAAAAUAAUUACUAUCAUAACAUCAACAUGUCUGAUAUGUUUAACUAAGUAUAAAACAUAUUUUAAUCAAUAUUUAAUCAAAUAAUUAUUAUUUUAUCAAAAAUUCGAAAAACAUACUUUAAAGUAUUAGGUUGCUUACCUCUUGUCACUUUAAAAAUCCCACUUCAGUUAGACAGGUCAGGUACACAUGUUUUAAUAUAAUUAAAACACCAUAAAUUUCAUCAUCAUUCCAGAAGUCAAGCGAAGUCAAAAUCAAACACUACUGGAGAACAACCUUAUGCCCCCAAAUCAGGUCGAUUAGGUGACGGUGCCCGACUACCCAGGUCGGUCCGAGCAGGGAGAAUUGAACUAAUCCAAUAAAGGUCAAAAGUAGUCAAAUUUCAAAAGAUCUAGUUGGGAUUGUAGUGAUGAGCCGGUCUAUCAUCCAGAUACCAGGACGGUUUAGGGUCUCCAAACUGGGUCAACUUGGAUCCGAGCAACAAGAAAAGCAAGGCUUACACAAGGAUCCCUGAGCCUGUCUAGAGAGAGAAAGGGGGAGAGGAGAGAGAUUCUCAGUUCGGGUUCAGUCAGGGGCCUGGGUUUGGGUUCGUCAUAGUGUCAUAGAUCAUCACAACAUGCGGUCGAUGGGCCAGGAGGAAAAAUUAGUAACUAGGAAAGAACAACAUAAUCCAUAUAUUUAUAGGGAUUAAUAAAUAAAUAUAAGAAACUAAGAAUGGGGAGAAGAAGAAAAAUAACUAAGAAGAAGUCGAGAAGGAAGAGAGGGAAGAGAAGGAAGAGGCCGAGGAAGAAGGUCUUGCGGCGGCCAGGCCUAGGUAGUCGACAGCCAGCCGUCCACAGUUGGUGGUGUCCAACAACAGCUGUGGCAGCCGGCAGGAAAGGAAAAAACCAAAAUCAUUUUUGGUUUAGCUCGAAAUAAGGAAAGGAAAACAUCUUUGUUAGCUUUGAUAGGAGGAACAGGGGAAGAGGGCUUACCAGCGAGCGGCAGAGAUGGAGGAUCUCACUAAGGAGUUGGGUCCGACAAGCUAGCGGCAGCAAUGCUCAAAAUAGGAUGGAAUCUCGAAACAAAUUAUACAAAAGAAAUAGAGAGAGAGAAGAGAGCUUCGGGUGGUGGUGCUGGACUGGGGUGGCAUGCUGGCCACCGGAGAAGAAAAAAUAGGGAGUAGAGAGCUCGAUUGUGGAUCAACCACAGAGAGAUGGAAGAUUUAUAGGAGAGUUUUGAAAGGGAUAGACCCGAGGAUGUUGUACCAUUACAAUUCUCGCGGCGGAUGAGCUCGACCAACGGCCGGUGGCCGUUCAAACAACCUGCAGCCGUUUAAACAGCCCACGAAGGCCUUGCUGGCCACAACUCUGCGCGGCCUUAUCUCCUCAAUGGCGAGCGAUCGAGUCUCUCAAUCGAAGAAGCGAAGAAGAAGUAGAGGAUCACGAUACUUUGUUCCAAUCCAUUCUCCUCACUGAAGCCUGUUGGGCCUCCCAAUUUUAGCCCAAAACGGCCCUUUCUUGGGCCAGAUCUCACACAAUUUAAGUUUCCACGUUCAAACAAGCUAAACUUAAAAAGCGAAGGCAGGCUUCACAGAGCAAUUGGCAGCGGACAUGUAGAAAGAGCACAGAUGCAACGAUCACUUAUUUCCAGAUGUAAGCAAGAAACACCAUAUUGAAUUUUCUAACCUUUUAUUACCAACUGAUAAUUUUAAUUACCCAUAAAAAUUGGCCACACAUGAGUGCGAAUAAAGUAAAUAUAACACAUUCUCCAAAUGGAGAGCCAGCCCCUCUGCAAAGGUUGGGGGCAAGGGCUCAUCCAGCUCAAUGAGCUCUCACAUGAAACACUGGCAUAUCACUAUGUUACAUGCUCCCUGACUAGAGACAGGCAUUUCAGCGACCAACCAAAAAAUUGUGCCGAUGGCAUUCUCUAUACCCCGCCAAAUCAGAUGCAUCCAUGUAUGAAUCAGGCGAAAUCCAUGGUGCCAAAUUCAGCCUAAUAAUUUAUCUCCUGUCCAACCCUGCAUAUGAAUGAAAUCUGCAUUGAGGCUUCAAUAAAUGCUGAGCCUAUCAUACAUCAAAUCACAAAUUGGUUGAUUGGCAAAAGAAAAGGCUAUAAAUAGAGGUAGUAGCAAAUCCAACAGAAGCUAUAUACCAACAGGCUCAUGUUUAAUAUCUUAAAUUCCUAAGCAACCACAUACCUUUUAUGUAUAUGUCACAUGCCAACAUUACUGCCGCCGGUUCCCUAAUUCAUUCCACAAGAUGGCAUAUGUCAAACUCAGGCAGAUGAACUGGUAUUAAUAUAAAGAAUUGAUGACUCGUAUUUUCCGAUGUUUUAUCUAGAGAUAUUCCCUGAUCUCUUUCUAAAAAGCUGAGUCAUACUUUCUAGCUCCUAUUUACUUCCCUGAAUUCUGCUGGCAUCUGUAAUUUAUUGUUUCUCACCAUGCAUCAACUAGAGAACAAAAAAGAAAAAAGAAAACAAGCCACAGAAGACAAAACGUAUCAUAAAUUGAGGAGCCAAAACAGAGCGAACCAAGGACUGUGUGACAUUGAUUUCACCAGCAAGUCCAUCUCCAUGGUAAUAAGGGAUUUGGGGAUUUGCACAGCUAAACAAAUGACCACAUAGCCUACACCAAAAUAAUUCCUAAUAUGCUAGGUAGCCUUUAAACAUUUUUUCCAUAAAACAAGUCUCCCUCAUCGCUAAUGACAAUAGUCAUUUAUGUUGAAUUUGGUGAUGUUCUAUAUUUAAGCUUUCAAAGAGUUCCAAUGCCUCCACCAUUGCACAAAACCACAUCAUUGACAAAGGCUGUAAAGACUGAUCUUAACAGGGACAAUAAAAGAUAGGAGAUGUUUACUGCAAUUUGAUUAGUACCACAAGUGCUGGAAUGGCUUUCCAUUGAACAAGGAUUUAACACUAAGAAUGAAUGUAGUAGACAAUCACAAAUAUGGCGUGGUUCCAUGUCAUGUUACAAAAUGAGAUGUGAGUAUUAAAUAAUGCUACCCACAUCUUUCUUACGUAGCCAAUAUAAUACAUCACUCUUGCAGAAACAGAUGUCUUUAGAAAUACUAGAUUUUGCAGAUGUGGUGCGCAUGAUUUCUUCAAGAAGCAUCAGAUGGAUGGCUGUGAUCCCAUCAAUCAGGAUCAUUUGCAGUAGAUUUGACAAAUACACUUCUUAUUAUAUACUCAUUGUAGUAACUUAUUGAUGAAUGAAUGUUGGGGAGUGAAUUUUGGAUGAGUUUAUUUAUAGUGGGAUUUACAGAUGGUCGGCUCAAGAAAUGGGACUGACAGGCCCCAUGGAUGGAAGCUCAGAUGAGUUUACAUUAUAAUUAUAGAGAUUAAACAACAGUAAUAAAUCUAGUAAUAUCUCUAGCUGACUAUAUGAAGAGAGAGAGUUUUCCUUGAUUAAAAGUUGUUGAUUAUGUAUUGCAAUGCUCACCACAACUUGAACAUUGAUCAGCUUGGCAGUAUUAUGAAUCCAUCUUCAGUUGUUAUUCUCUUACGGGUCACCUCCACCUGAAGGAACAAGCUUACAAAGCCAUAUACAGCUGGCAGUUUUUAUGCUAAACAUGCAUCUUGUAGUUUUAGGUCUUUCCCUCCUCCAUCCUAACCCAUCAGAUAAAAAAAGAAAACUUUCAAAACCAUCCUUGCCACCUCAGGUCUUCCAGUUCUCAAAAAGUUCUACGAUUUCAUCCAUAAUAUCCCAGAUUUUCCAUUCUCCUUCCCAACCCUUAGACCCAAGUCCAAAGUUCCCUCCUUGUAUGUGCUAUGCCACAGGAGCUACUAAUAUGUUAGACUCUCAAGUUUUUCCUUUUACUUCGGGCUUUAUAGUGAGUGCUUUAAAUUAUAUCUGUCAAUCCUACUUGAUCCUAAUUCGACACUAGAAGUCCCUUGACCUAGAAAGAAGAUCGACAAAUUAGUAACAUGCUAAGGUAUGCAAGUAUGUGCUAAAAUAGAAUGAAUAACCCAUUACUAUAUGCCAAGUGAAAAUGAAUUAUAGGUGUCAUUGACAAUGAAGUUGUAUAGAGCAAGACUUGGGCAAAAAAAGGGUUUAGUACGUAACUAGCACCCUUAUGCUGUGUUUGGACAUUGAUUAGUUAACCAGGGUUUAAAUAAAAUAAACCAUUGGUGACCACUCCUAAUCGGAUAACCAUGGGUCAGAAUUAUUCACUGUUUGGUUGAUAUUCUGGCAUUGGAUAUGUUAUGGAAAAGAGAAAAAGCAAAAGAGAGAGAAGAGAGAGAGCCAGCAGUUAAAUUUAUUUCACCCUCCUCCAUUGAAAUAAAGUUAACCAGGUUAGCCUACUUUUUGGGGCGUUGACUGAUUAAAGUCAUCAUGGCAUUUUGGGCUCUUGUUUGGAUGGUUAAACUGCUAACCACUUCCUAACCUUCACAUAACCAGCAUCCAAACAGGGCCCUUAAUAUAUUAUCAACAAUAUGAUAAUGGAUAUCAUAGAUGGAGUUGCGAGACAAAAUUCAAGAAAGUGACAAGAAUUAUUGGGCCCAAUUAUAACAAGGUAAGUCAGGAGCUGAUAACAAGAAAAAGCGCCUACUUUGACCGUUAUGAGAAGUGUUAAAAGCACCUAUUGGAAGUGUUAAAAAGAUGAAAUACACAACAAACAAAAGACGCAAACUUCACAAGUCUGAGUUUUAGAAGUUUUUAUUGACAUGUAGAGUGAAGUAAAGAUGAGGAGAUAAUAAAAAUACAAGGCACCUAUUUGGACCCCUAUGAGAAGUAUUGCUUGGAUCUGACACAAUAAACAAAAUACAUAAACAUCACUGAUAUGAUUUUUGAAAGUUUUAAUUGACAUGUACAGAGUGAAGUCAUAGUGUGAAAAGUUUUGUGACAUGACUCAUAGUACUCAAACCUUUGAGAAUGACACAAUAACAUGGAAUGACUUUCAACUCUGACAGUGAACCACCUCUAGUUGUCCAAGAUCCAGUGGAAAAGAAGUUAAGAGGCAAGGACAAAAACUAAUGUGAUACAUUGAGGGAGACGGUGGAACUUUCUCAAUAACAUUUAAUCCUGUGCAUGAACUGAUGGAAAAGAUUUAGGGUGUGGCAUGAGUGUGUGUGUGUGUGUGUGUUAGCAACUUAUCCUGACCUAUAGAUGGGCCAUGGACAAAUGUGUUUAUGUUAGCUGGGUAGCUGCGUGGGACAGAAAAAAUACUAUGCAAAAGAAAUUUGCCAGAAAUUCUCAUAGAUGUUAUCUAGUGAAAAGAAAUCACCAAGGCAGGUCACCAUUUUAAUUAUAAUAAUGUACCAUUGUAUGUGACAAUCCCAAAGUCAAAAACUGUAAGCAAUAUAUAUACGGGGCCGGCUUUUGGCUUUAAGCAACUCAACCAGAUGUGGGUAAAAUAGAAUCAUUUUGAAACGAAUUCUGUAUCUUGAGCUACAAAACAAUUCUCCUCCAGUAUGAGGUACACUUUUCAUACGAAGGCUGUGUAUAAUUCCAAUUCUCGUGUCAUAGUUUAACACAAUGUAACCAACAAAUUAAAAAUAUAAUUUUAGCUGCAAUUCCAAUUUUACUUAUGACAUGGGAUUAUGUAGCUAAUGAUAACAAUAUGCAAAAUAAAUUUUAGCACUUAACUAAAUAGGAUUCCCAACACAGAUUUGAAAAGAUUAAAAGACCAGAGAAUUAUUUUGAGCAGAAUAAACUUUAUUGGAUGUACGAAUAAAUAAACAUGUUGCACAAGAAUAACCUAACAUAGAUUACAAAAUAUGAUCGGAAUAAGCUCUUCAAAACACAUAAUUUGGUACGUGAACCUAAAAUGACAACAGCUCUCUGCUAGAAGUUAAUUCAAAGGCUGACUUAUUACUAAAGGAAGAUUAAGAAUGUCAGGCAAAGAAACUAAAAUCCCAUGCAAUCUAUGAGAAAAGAGAAAAAUAAAGAAGAAAAGAACUAGACCUGUGUAUCUUUGAAGGGACCCAUUCCCAUUCAUUAAAUUUGGAACAGCCCUUCUUUCUUGGCUUAAAGAUAAAAUUUCUUGCAUUCUCUCAGGCCAAUCAGAGUUCAAUCUCCUAGCAAAAUCUUCCACUUCUCUGCAUUAAUCAUCGAAAACAAAACGAGGAUACUUGGAUUAUAGAUGCAAAAGAGACAUGUUGAGUCAUAUCAGCUAAAUGCAUCAAGUGCCAAAAGGUAAUCAGUGGGAAGUACGUAAAUGAAAAAUAAAAUGUAAUGUGUGCAUAUAUAUAUAGAGAGAAAGAGAGAGAGAGCUGGACUUGGCUACACUCGAGUGGAUCUACACUCAGACCAUGUAUNNNNNNNNNNNNNNNNNNNNNNNNNNNNNNNNNNNNNNNNNNNNNNNNNNNNNNNNNNNNNNNNNNNNNNNNNNNNNNNNNNNNNNNNNNNNNNNNNNNNNNNNNNNNNNNNNNNNNNNNNNNNNNNNNNNNNNNNNNNNNNNNNNNNNNNNNNNNNNNNNNNNNNNNNNNNNNNNNNNNNNNNNNNNNNNNNNNNNNNNNNNNNNNNNNNNNNNNNNNNNNNNNNNNNNNNNNNNNNNNNNNNNNNNNNNNNNNNNNNNNNNNNNNNNNNNNNNNNNNNNNNNNNNNNNNNNNNNNNNNNNNNNNNNNNNNNNNNNNNNNNNNNNNNNNNNNNNNNNNNNNNNNNNNNNNNNNNNNNNNNNNNNNNNNNNNNNNNNNNNNNNNNNNNNNNNNNNNNNNNNNNNNNNNNNNNNNNNNNNNNNNNNNNNNNNNNNNNNNNNNNNNNNNNNNNNNNNNNNNNNNNNNNNNNNNNNNNNNNNNNNNNNNNNNNNNNNNNNNNNNNNNNNNNNNNNNNNNNNNNNNNNNNNNNNNNNNNNNNNNNNNNNNNNNNNNNNNNNNNNNNNNNNNNNNNNNNNNNNNNNNNNNNNNNNNNNNNNNNNNNNNNNNNNNNNNNNNNNNNNNNNNNNNNNNNNNNNNNNNNNNNNNNNNNNNNNNNNNNNNNNNNNNNNNNNNNNNNNNNNNNNNNNNNNNNNNNNNNNNNNNNNNNNNNNNNNNNNNNNNNNNNNNNNNNNNNNNNNNNNNNNNNNNNNNNNNNNNNNNNNNNNNNNNNNNNNNNNNNNNNNNNNNNNNNNNNNNNNNNNNNNNNNNNNNNNNNNNNNNNNNNNNNNNNNNNNNNNNNNNNNNNNNNNNNNNNNNNNNNNNNNNNNNNNNNNNNNNNNNNNNNNNNNNNNNNNNNNNNNNNNNNNNNNNNNNNNNNNNNNNNNNNNNNNNNNNNNNNNNNNNNNNNNNNNNNNNNNNNNNNNNNNNNNNNNNNNNNNNNNNNNNUAUCUCUCCUUUACAUUGAAUGGACUAUAUUUAAGGGAUUGCUUACCCCUUGCCCCUCUGUUUGAGACACCCAGAGGCAAUGUCUACCAGAUUGUUUGCAAUAAGCAAGAUGUAUACUACAUCCCAUAUGAGAUAUUCCAAUCAGGAUUCCCAGAAUGAUAUGGAAUAUCGUAAUACUUUCCAAAUGAAAUAUGUCAGAGAUGCAUUAACAACAAUUAUUUACUCGAUAUAUAUAAUAAUUAAUCAUGAGUACGCAGGCUAAGUUUUAUUAGUUAUCCUAGACUUAACUAAUAGUUCAUACUAUAUCGGAUCCCUACCUUUGUUGACUGUACAUAUUUAUCAUAUUCUUGAACAAGGUUCGCUAUACCGGUCGGUACCGAGCGUACCGUACCCGUACCAAUGGGUACCGGUAUCGGUACACCAAUGUCGGUACGGUCGGUACCAAGCGUAUGGUACCGUACCGACACUCGGUACGCCUAUACUAAUGCGGCACCGGUACGGGGUUUGGUACCGGUACGGCGAACCUUGUUCUUGAAGCCCAAGCAUCAUUUUCAUUGCUGAACCUUCCUUGUCAGCCCAAACAUAUGGGUUACUCAAGUGCUGUGCUGACUGAUAUUUUUACCUUUUAUAACAUAUUUAUGUUUUAGAAUCGUGCCAGAGAAACAUCAUAAAUCAGCCUGACAAGGAAAAAUUCACCAAAAAAAAGAAUGGUUGGGCUUCCAGAUUGCAAUGAAUGAACAGGCAUAAAUAAGAUAAAUGAUUGGUCAAAAUGAAUUAUCCAUUUAGAAUAAAAAAUGUCGUAAGAAUUGGUUUACAUUUCAAACAACUUUCGAUACGUUGUUUGUGGGUUUUCGGAAACCCUUCAUGUUACAGCCUCAGAAUUAUACUUCUGAAGGGUUACCCAACAAUCUUAAGUAUGUGAUGCUUCGCAACACAAUUUCACAGUCCAAAGUAAAAAAAAAAAAUGCAAUUUUUUAAAACAAAAACAACAGAAAGAGACAAAUAAGGAUAAUUGAAAAUUAUAUCCUCUUAUAGAAUAAAAUCAAGGAGUAUCGCCAGGACCAUACCAUGAACUAAAUUGCAUAUUCACCAACAAGGACUUGAUCCAUCAAACAACAAAUAACUCACAGACAAGAAACUUCAAAGCCAACAUCAAAAGAUCAACAUCACACUGGUCCUUCUGUCAGUUUAUAAGGAAACUUAUAAAUUAUAAUGAUCCCACAGGUAAAAUUCGAGCACUUGACAUAAAAGCAAAGAGUUUCUGAAUAUUUAACAGAAACUUUGUUUACCUAGAAGCAUAAAAAGGAAAAAACAAAAGCAACUACUCUAAAACCUUUGCGUGCCACCCACCAAGCAAUGUCAUAUAAGUCGCAACUUAUUCGUGAUUCCAUUGUCCAAGACAAAUUCUGUCACAAGAACAUUGGUUUUGCCAAACUUUUCGGCAGAUUUUUCUCCUUCAUUGGCUAAAAUUUGAGUCCUAAAGGGGCGUUCAGGGAAUAAUAUCUAUUAUGCAAUUGAACUUGUAAAUAAACUCAUGAAGAAUUAUUUUGGUAACAUCCCCAACUUCUCAGAGCUCAAAAUUUCAACCUGUGUCAUACUCCAAAUUUUGUGGUAAUCACUUCACAUAGUUCUCAUCCUAUAGCUCACCCUCGUCUCCUAUCCCUAUAGGCUAAAUUUUUUCAACUAUGAAAAAAGAACAAUUGUAUAGCCCAGCCUUAGCACUCUAAAACAUAAUUCAAGAAUCUAAAUGAUUCUAUAUAAAUCACAGUAUGCAAUGCAAAUGAAUUAAAAUUCCUACCUAUUGGAUACAAACUCUUUCUUUAACCUGAUCGACUAGUAUACAAGGAAAAAUGUCCACAUCAGAUUGUGUACUUUCCUCUUAUGGUAUGCCUUGUAUGAGAAAGAAGAUAUAACCGAAGGGCACUAAACAUCUAAUUAAAUUUUCAUGAAUUGUGAUAAUCUUCAACCACUCUAUCACAUUGCUGUGGACAUUCUUUUGGCAAUUCCCACUUCAACUGUCAUAAGUCUCAUCAGAUCUAUGUUUAAGGGAUCUACAAAUUGAAUUUCAGUCUCAACGUUCAUCAUUGUUGUCUAAAUCUUAUAAUUGGAUCAAAACGGUCUUAAACAAUGCAGAUCCCAUCCUUGGAUCGGGAUCAAUUUAGGACCACAAGAUCUAGAUCCAUAUGAUAAACUUUACAUUUGGUUGGACCGAACCGGUACCGAACCGAUUAGGCGUGCCAGUUCACGCACCGGCACGCACUAAAUUUUUUUUUUUUGGGAGUUCUCUCUCUUUCCGAACUUUUUCUAUGAAUUUAAGUCUAAUUUGAUGUUUUCUUGAUUUUUUUUAUAUAUUUUCUGAUGUUUCUACAAUCCCGGUUUAAGCUAGAUCAUGCAUCUUAUUGCUUUAAAAUGAUACAAAUCAUAAAAUGAACAUAAAAUAUCUUCAAAUUAAGAUACAAUCAAUUAUAUACAUAAUAAUAUCUAAAAUCGGGUCGAGUGGCGAUGGCUCUCGUAGAUAUCCGGAUCAUUAACAUAAUCAGGACCCCUCUAUUCAAGCAGCAUUGUAAUCUUUUAUGUUCAUCCCAUAAAGAAUGUGCGUCGGAUUAUAAGUACUCUCGGAUCUUUCACUGAAGCUCUAGCUCUGAGAAGAAUCCUCUAGCUGAUAAUACGGCUGUGGAAGGGCCCAUCCGAAUAUGCCGGCAACAAAAUCCGACACGUGAGAUACUCCGGACUGCGUAGGAUAGUAGCCACCAGAAGAUGCCUCAGACGCACCAUAUCCAUAUCCAUAUCCGUAUGAAUCAUAGGUUGUUUGUGUCUGCGGAUAAUAGAAUCUAGUAUAAGACUCGAAACUUGAUACGUCUAUUGAUCUAACUUCACGUGCGAGAUCAUCUACAGCUGCAUCGUGUCCUCCUGAAUGAUCUUGAGGAGCCCGUCUCUUAUAUGCAAUCGUAUCAUCGCGGGCUCUGCCAGAUCGUCCAUCGUGGUCCCGAUUCUAUAUAGCAUGCGUAAAUUGAGACUCACCGGUAUAUUAAAGACCACCCUACGGCUGUCUCAUGAAUAGUGGUCUCCUGUUCUCCACUCCUUCCAUGGCCAAAAGAUCCAUGACAACCAGAAAUGUCAUCGUUGCUCCUCGACAAUUCAUUGAGGUUGCAAAUAUCUUGUUUUCUUUUUAGUCUGCUAGGCAGCUAUCUUCUUACCCUUCAUGCUUCUCUCUGUCUAAUUAUCGCCCUUCUGACCGCCAUCUCCAUUUAUAAAAGAUAAUAUUUCAUCAACUGAACGCUCAUCUUUUCGUUGUUCUUCAGUUUCUCCAUCCUUUUGUUUCUGACGCUCUUCCAGUUAGCAUAUAGUCGAUUUAGUAGCCUGAUCCGUGGAUCAUCAUUAGCAUUCUUCAAUGGCUCUAACUUCUCUUCCUCAGUGAGGUCAUCUGGCAAAUGAAAAGUCUCACGAAUUUCUUCCGGUGUUUUUCCUUCUAUCAUGCGGGCAAGCGCUCGACUACUGAGAUCUACCAAAGGCUUUAGCUGCAGGCUGUCAGCUGCAGAAGUCAACUCACAUAAUCGUUUGGUAUCUAUCCUGAUGAAUUUCUCAUCAAAAGAUUUCCGCUCCUUGUUAGAGCGGCCUGGAACUUGAUGAAAGCGACAAUAAUCGAGAAUUAAGCUAAGUAUGGCUGGAUUAACUCUUUCUGGUAAAGAAAUGGCAUAAUUCUUAGAAGAUCCCAUGCCCGUCUGAAGUAUUUCUCGACAUAUCAUGGGGCAGAACAUAGCAACCUCCUCCUCAACUUGCUGGAUUGAUCCAUCAGUACAUUGGAGCCAGACAUAAGACUUCAUAGCCUCUGGUUUGAUAAUUGCCAUCUCACUUUCUGACAUUUGAUGAUAGCCUCUUAGUACGUAAGGCAAAAGAGAAUAAACACAUAGAUACAGAGGAAAUUACUAAACUGCUCCUCCAAGCUCAAAGUUUCUAGACUGGACAAUAUAUAACGAUGUUCCCAAGCACAAACACUUCUGAUUAUAUAAUAGGUAUUGGCUGUUAACAAAAACAACACCAAACAAUAGACAUUUCAAGAACAUGUUUGUCCUCGUUUCUUCUUGGGAUAGCCUCUUUAACAAUCAUCCAGUCAUAGGCAUCACUUCAGUAGGAUGUUAAUAAAACAAUUGGGUUAUAAAGUCACUUGCUUGACCUGAUACCGAGCCGCCGCGAACUGCUCUCUAGGGUUCCCGGCCGUCCCCGAUGACAGAACCAAUCGAGGAAGAAGCGAACACGCGAGAGAGAGAGAGAGAGAGAGAGAUUACUAAGUAGGUGGAGGGGGCCGGAGGGCGGGAUGGGGGAAUUCUAGGGUUUUGAAGGGUUUCUUCCCGAUUUGGGACCGGGGAGGCGGGGAGCCGCUUUCCGAGCCUCGGAAGAGAGAGAGAAAGGAGGACAGCAAGGGGCGAGCUCUAUCUCAGUUGACCGAAUAGCUUAGUAGCCUCGUCCGAGCAUCUCUGGAUCAUAUCUUUAAGAGAAUGUUUCAGACAAAAAGUCAUGCGAUGACUAGCUCUCCUGCGGUUGUGCCUGAUCAGCUCUAGGAAUGCGUAGAAUGUUACGCUCAGCCCAUUGCCUUGCAUCUACCCUAGCUUUCCUGGCUACAAAGCUGGCCGGUUAUAGAGACAAUUCUGGCUCAUCAAGCACCGGCUCCUGCUAUUCGCCUUAAAUACAUUUCUAAUUUUACAGUUUUUUUAUUUUUAUUUUUGAAAAAAAUAUUUUUAAUCCAAAAAUAUAUUUAUAAUUUUUAAAAAUUAUAUAUAAUUUAUGAAUUAAAAAUUUGUGUCAGCAUAUACAUCAUCCAUAGAUCUACAAAAUAUAAAAAAUCAAGCCCGAAUCGAAAAAUUUGGCAUGAUCUUCUCUUAUUUUGCAAUUUUUGAGCUAUUUUUUCAAGGUUCCUAAAAAAAAAGAAAGAAGAUAGAAAAAAAGAAGCACACCUUAUUUAGCCUUGGCUCUUGCUUCUGAGAGUCUGAAUCAGUGUUGUUUGUGGACUUUUGGAAAAAGAAAAUUGGUACCUGACCGUUGGAAAAGCCUUCUUUGGCCUUCUCUUCGAUGGUGUUCGGCUUUUAAAGCCGACACCACGUUGCCAGAGCACCGCAUUGUAGCAAUUAUUGCCACAGCGGGCCACUGGCCCCCGACUCGGUGCGAAUCAAGCAGUUUGCACUGAGUCCGAGUCGAACCGGACAGAACCGGUGAGUCCGAGCCAAACCGAACGGAAUUGUCUAGUUCCGUCCGAUUCCGACCGGUACCGGCUAAAAAAUUAUUGAUUUCGGGUGGUAUUAUUGAGGUUCCGGCCUCGAAAUUUCGGGUGGUAUUAUUGAGGUUCCGGCCCCUUCGAGGCCCGAACCAUUUUUCUAUAGCGAACUGACCCAGUCUGGGAACGGGUCGGCUCAGUACGGCCUGAACCGAGCGGUACAGCCCGGUUCGGCCAUCCUCGGUUUGGAUCAAAGUUGGUCGUACCAUUCUGAACUGUUUGGUUCAGGGUGUACUACAUCGAACUGACGGAGAGCCAGGACAGUUAACCCGGUCGGCUCAGUAAACAACAAGUCGAACCCUCAUCAAAAGCUGAUCCUCGGUUUGAGAGAACAGUUCAAGGAAAACAAGACGAACCCAAGCCCCUUCAUUUACAUAGGCCACCCCCUUCGCAGUUUAGGUCGCGAUCGUCCCUCCUACAUCCUCAAAACCCUCCUCUAGCCCCUUUGCCUCCUUUUCUGGCCUCUCUCUCUCCCUCCCCUCCUCCGAUCCUUUGAAACUCCAAAGGGACCUCUCUCUGGCAGCCCUUCGAAACGGCCUUUCGAGUUAUAGUCACUUCCUUCUCGCUCGCCAGGGUGAGGCAAGGGCUCGGUGCUCCCCCUGCUCCUCCCACAAUAGGGCCGACAUUUUCUGGCUAUGAAGAUUGGCCGCCGAGAUGGCGAAGGGGGUAGUACCAACCCUAGACGCGGUGGCAGUGACAGAUUGGAGGAGGUUGUGAGUCAGAGAGUCAGCAUGGUGGCUUCGAAACUGGCCUCUCUUCACUGAGUCCCCUCUAUCACUCCUCUCUUCCUCUCCCUCCCUCCCUCCCUCCCUCCCUCCCUCUCCUUCCUCUCUAGCCCUCUCCCUCCCAAUGGUUCUAGUACACUACGAUAUGGUACAGUACAGACUGGUACCAUACCAUCCAAUCACCAUGCCUGGUCAUACCAGUUUAACCAUCCUUGGUUUGGAUCACAAGAUCCAAAUCAAUAAUGUUAUUUACAUACUGUGUAGGCCCAUUUUCUAUAGUUUCUAUGAUUACAUGGUUCUUAAAUUGCUAAUCAAUAAUAAAGUAAAAUCAGCAAGUCUGUUAUUGGGGUUUAUAGAGUUUAAAAAAAAAAAGCUGCAAGUGUUGUAUUUUACAACCACAUGCAAAAAUCUUACCCUAGCAUUCUAUGUUAAAGAAUACUUAAACUGAAAAUAGUGUAUAAAUAUCCUGGAUAACUGAACAGAAAGUUUUUUUUCAUUAGAAAUACUAUAUAUGGGCCUAAAAUGGUGAAAACUAGACUAGUUGUGUGUAUGCUUUAUAUUUUCCAUUCAUCUACUUUAUAGUUGACUCAUUUUAAUUUCCACACUUCUUUUAUAUUCAAGAAUUUCUCAGAGAAACCAGAGGUAAAAGGUUGAAAUCAGGGGGAAACCCCCUCCCCCCAUCCCCCCCACCCCUCGCGCACACAGAUUUACAACUCGUUCCAGAUCUUGACAAUAUAGGCUCAGACCAAGGAUGGGUUCUCAGCCCGUAGAUAUCUUGGAUGCAUUAUAUCAAGCAAGCACAACAGCUAUGGCCCACAGUACAUUUGCUGUACAUCUUCAUAUUUUGCAAUCCCUUAACAAUCAUGACCUCAGAAACUUCUUUUGAAGAAACCUUAUAAUCGUGUCAUCCUUUUUCAUCAAUAACAUUGGUCGCAAGAAAGACACCUAUCUUCCACAUAUUACUCCUUAUAGAAGACAUAGGAGAAAUGUCCAGAUCCCUUUUAAGACUCAUAGGAGGGAUUUCAUAAGAGACAAAAGCUAUUAACUACGAAUGAAGUGCAUACCUCAAGACAGAGAGUCUGAAAAGUGAAAAGAUAUAUCAAUUUCCUAAGUAGAAUCUCUUGUUUUCAAGUAACCAAACACUAAACUACAGUAAGAAACAAGUAAUUCGAAUGAUGGGACAUGCAUACUCAUGAAAGCAUAUAUGAUUAACACAACCAAAUAAGCCCACAUCAUACUAGCUUCAUUUAACAAAAAAAAAGUCAAAACUCAAGGUCACAUGAAUAGAAAAUGUGAACUUAAAUGAAGUUAACUAGUUUGCACCAAGCAUGCUCAAACAUAUAGCACUCACCUGUCCAGCUCUUCCUUCAUUGCAGGAUCUAACUCGUCGUCUAUAUCACCAUCUUCAAAAUCAACCCUCGUUGGAAAAGCAUCUUCAGCCCGACUUGGACUAGGAGAAUUACUACCACCAGGUUCACUUCUUCCCAUAGAAAGAGUCAAUGCAUCCUAACACACAAAUAUAUAGGCAAAAUGUAUUAACAUCUACAGAAUACAGUUGAGAUGAAAAUGCAUCAUCAGAAAAGCAAAGAGAAUAUUGGUAACCUUCUUGUGCGAUUUCUCAGACUCAAUUCUAGAAGGAUCCUUUGGUUGCUCUUUUUUCCUCCUAUUUUUCUUUUAUUCUUAGCAGCUUUAGCGCUCUUUGAGUCUGUCAAAAAGUGAAAUUGAACAAGGACCAAUCUCAAUCAAGUAGAUUGCUGAAUAGAUAAAGUCACAUUUUGAUAGCUGGCGGUAUAGAUGACAUUGAAUGCAUAACCAAUCAAUUAAGUUUCAAUUAAAACUUCAACAAGUCCAUCAUAUUUCGAAUUAGAACAAACAAUCACAUUUCACAGUAGUUAGCUACAGAAACCAUUAGCUCUAUUCAACACCAUGCUCCAAGAAGAUGUCGUUGGACAUCAAAAUAUGUAAAUUUUAUAUCACAAAAACUGAAAAUUCACAAAAAAUGUAAACUAGGAAAUGUUGUGUUCAAGAUGAAUUCCUCCUUAAUUAGUAACUCAACAUGCAAACCUUCCAUCAUAUAUCACCAUAAGCCAUCAACCAAGACAGCAGAUUUCAGAACAAAAACUAGGAUACCAGCAUGAUUUAGGUGCUUUCAAGUCCUUGAUUUUCAUAUAGGUAAUCAUAAAUCAUGCCUCCUUCAUUUGCAGUUUACAACACCCAAAGAAUUAAAAACAGACCCUCAGAAAUGACAGCCAAUUAGGCAAACAGACAAGGUAUCAAUAUAUUUCAACACAAAAGGCAUACUUUCUUGGUUCCCUCAGAAGACCAGUUUUCCUGGUUUCACUUAAGAAGGCCAAAAAUUAAGUAUGUUAACAUGAUCUCCAGCCAUAAUGCAAUUCCAAAUUUUCAAGAUUUUGGCUUAAUCAAACAGCAAAUAAGUUAUUUCAGCAGAUAAUAAGCAAGAACUUAAAUUUAGGAAAAAUCCAACAUGAAAGAAGGAAGAGAAAAUUUUAUAUUGAAAAAAUGAAGAGAGAAGAAGAAGAAGAAGAGGCAAAACAUAUAGGAACCAAAUGCAGUACAAAAGCAUGCGCAUAAGAGGAAAAAUAAAAAUUACCUACUCAGAGAAGAAGACAAAAAAAAAACAUUUACAAUCAUACAAAAUUUAAAAAAAAAUAAAUACAUGACAUUCUCGUGAGUUCGGGUAGUAAUUUCUUGUAAUAGUUCCCAGGUUGUAAUUAUCAUAAGCCUUGACUAAGUAGUUAUACAAAAGGAAGAUUACUUAAUUGUGUACUUCAAAGAUUAGUGGAGAAAAAACACUCCACAUACUUUGAAUUUCCUGAUCAAAUCAUUUAAGGAUACUAUAUCAGACAAUGUCAUAUUGUUUUUGGCAUUCAACUGAAAUUUUGGAUCCUCUUCAUAUACAACGAAUAUAUAUGGAUAAAGAUAUAUUUAUUCAAAUAAAAAUAUCUAGCCAUAUGCCCAUCAACAUAUUGUAAAUACAUAUAAAUAUCUAAGCAAGCUAACAUAUUAUAUCACCCAAUGGAGAUCCCAAUACUAUUGACUACAUAGCUAGUUACCAUGCCCAACAUUUCCUAUUACCAGAAACCCUCUCUUCAACAAUCCCAGCAUAAUAAUGAAUAUGUUUGACCAUGACAAGUAGUUUGCUCUAAAUAAGGGUUUUAUAUACACCAUUUCAAGGUUUCAUCACUCAGACUCCCAUAAACCUAAAAUCUAGACGUAUUGAUCCAGAACUCUUAAUCUUCGUUAGGUGUUCUUACUGUUCUCAUUGCAUAUGAAUAUCACCUCAUAUGAAUGUUUAUGAUAACCUGAGAAUGUAAGGAAGGAUUUAUGAGGUCCAGUUGAAAGCAAACACGUCCUGAAAACUAAGGGUAGUCAAUAAUAAUUGAAUGAGACUGCAGAUAGAGUAUAGCAUAUCCAUUCGUGAUUCAUUUUUUUAUAGUAAGAAAAAGUUGUUCAGCUUAUAUUUUAAUGAUAUAAUAAAUAUUCAAAAGAAAAUUGCAACCUGACACUUCCUGAAAGAGUAAAGGGAAUAAUUUAUAUGGUUAUAAUACCAUUUAAAAAACAACAAAGAAUAUUAUUUUUAAAAAGAGAGAUGAUUGCAAACUAUAGUACAUGGAUGUAAUGGGGAAGGAGACAUAUUGGAAGAAGGGUGUGGAAUGCUGCUGUGCAUGCACAUGAGAGAGAGAGGAUAGCAGGGAGGGCGAGGGGAGGGGGGGGGGGUGUGGGGUGGGAGAGAGGUAUAAAGAAAUAGACAGCGAAGCCCCAACCUACCUAUUGUGCAUCUUAAGCCUUAGUCUACCAUAUUUGUGAGGAUCCGGCGUGUAUAGUCCCACAUCGGCUAUGCACUAAAUAAAUCUUGGAUACUUAUUUAGGACCAAGGAACCCAAAUAACACCUUCCAGCUUAGCCUUUUUGGGCGAGAUCCUAGGUUAUCGACUAUACCGACGGGCACCAAUGCAUAUCGAUCGGUAUCGAUGAAUACCGACCGUAUUGUACCGAACCGAUACAUGAUAUAGAGAACGUAUAAACACUCAGUACACCAAACAGACACCCAUACCAGAUGCACUGAUACUAUAAUAGGAUGGUAUUGAUAUGGGGUUCCGUAUCGAGAUGGCGUAUCUUGGUUGUUAUAAAUAAUAUCAAAAUGGACCCAUCCCAAGCCCAUCUAUAUUGGGGGCCACCACAACACAAACCCAUAAUGGCGUUUGUGAUUAGAUUUGUAGUACUUGUAAUUAGAUUUCUAGUACUUGUGAUUAGAUUUUAAUGAAUUUGGACCCUUAAACUAGUAAGAACGUUAAGACUUAAAAAGAGAAAGUAUGUGAGGAUCUGUGAGAGCUUGUGUUUAGUCCUACAUCGACUAUGCACUAAGAAGAUCUUGGGUACUUAUACAGGGCCAAUGAACCCAAAUAACACCUUUUAACAAGCCUUUUAAUAUAAGGUCCUAAGUUGUUACAAAUCAUGGUCUGCCGAACCGACCAGAACCGAUCGGUUCAGGCUGUACCAAACCGGUGCCGACAGCUACCGGUACGGUUCAACUGUGAAAACCGGUACCGAACCGAAACCGAUGCAACCGGCAUCGGUAGAAGCGAGGAAGAAGAGGAGGAAGAAGAGAAAGAAAGAAGAGAAGAAGAAGCCGGGAAGAAGAGGAAGAAAGAAGAGAAGAAGUGGAGAAGAAGAUAAGGCAAGUAUUGGAAAAAAGAGGACCUCUCUUCCUUCCUUGCUCGCGGGAGAACGGGGGGAACCGGAAAAGAGAGAAGAGAGGAGAGGGGAAGGAGGGUUCGGGAAGAAGAAGGGGAGGAAGAAAAUAAAGGGAAAAAAAAGACCCCACGCGGGCGCCGAGUGGGGAACCAGGCACGAGUGGGGAACCGCGAGCCCGCUCGCGCCCGCAAGCAGUCCCCCGCGCUGCCUUGAUUCCCUGCGCGGGCUCGCCAUGCGGGGCAGCAAGCCCACGCGGGCUCGCCGUGCGAGGCAGCAAGCCCACGCGGGCUGCCUCGCGUAGGCUUUAAAUGCCGCACAGAGUGGUAACGCGCGUCCACGCGCGCUUUUUUUUUCUACGCAUUUUUUUUCAUCUCGACCGGUCUGGUACCAUACCGGAACCGGACUGGUACCAUACCAGAACCGGUCUUCACCGAUACACCGGUACUGUUGGUACCACAGACCUUGUUACAAAUAGUAUCGAAACUAAGUUACAAAUUUUUGGAUGAGCUCCAUUUAAGCCCUAGCGAGGAUGCCCCCUGUUUAAGCCUAGCAAGGAUGCCAGAGCUUCAAUGGAGGAAGUAUGUGAGAAUAUGUGUAGGCAUGUCUAUAGUCCCACAUCAGCUAUGCACUAUGUAAAUCUUAAGGACUUAUACAUGAUCCGAAAACCAAAAAACACCUUCAAGCUAGCCUUUUUGGAUGAGGUCCUGGGUUAUUAUAAUAUUAUAAUUUCAUAAAAUCUUGUAUUAUGACAUUUAGAAGCUUUGAUUUAUUAAGGGUUUUUUGCACAUAACCUAACCCUUUAGUGCAAGGACUCAAGUAUUGUAUUAGUCUAGAUUGGUCAUACUGCACUAUACCAAUGAUGGACUGAUACUCAAUAGACCCUCGAUAUACUACCAUACAACACAUGAAAACCAGCGUCACCUCUGCUAUGCUGACACUAAUUAGAUUACCAACAUCCAACCAGCAAUGGUACCAAUACCAAGAUUUUAAACCUUGCCUUUUACAAACUAAUGGCACAUCAAUACUCUCUUUUACAUAUUCGCAUAUUAUACCUCUUUUAUCCCAAAAUACCCAAAGAGGGCCACAAAUCAAAUUUCCAUCACCCAUCAAUAAAACCAUAGGUAUAUACACCCCCGAGCAAUUGCCAAAUGGUUCUUCAUACCCUACAACAAACAUUCCUUUUCUUUCAAAAACACAACACUUUGUUGCUAGGAAAACAAAUAGUAUUUCCACAAUUAUGAGAUUGAACUCCAGCAAGACCACCAAGAAAAAGGUCAACUAUGAUGAUAGUUGUAGCUAGCAGCAUGACGCUUAUAAUGGCAGCAAUGAGCUCAAACAUGAUGAUGAAAUGUGGCAAAGAGCUCAAUCUCAAUGAGGACAGGAGCUUCGGCUAGAAAUGGUAGCUACAAAAAGCUUGCACCAACAACCACAGCGGAUGGAUCAACACUAACGGAUGCAGGAUACCGCGUAUAUUACCUCCUUUUUUAUCGGAAGAUAUUGAGGAGGAGAAAAUGGCAAGAGUGGUAACAUGGAAUUGACAUUUAAUAAAGCUGUUGGAGACAAGAACCACAACCCCAAUAGCAAUGGUGGCAAUAGCAAGGACGAACCCAGCCGAACAAGGAAAGUGGUAGAGAAUAUGACCUCAAAAGAGUAGAAAUAAAAAAUAAAAAAACCACCAAUGGCAACAAUGAGAAUUGGGAUCCCAAACCUGGCACUGGUAGUGGUUUGGAGCUUGAACUUGGAGAAUACAGUGUUGAGAAUGAGUACCUUAAAAGCUAGAAAUUCCAUUGGGUCGAGUUAGAAUAAGCACAGGAAUAAAUGAGAGAGAUCAUAUAUAAUUGUUCUUAGUAAAGACACCAGUUACAAUAGAUAAAUGAAGGGUAAUUUAAUCAAUUGAUUUAAGAGAUUACUGCUAGUCAAAAUAUUUGAUGAGUGCCCCAUUAUGACUGACUUGAUUUCUAGGAUAAGGGUGCAGUGACCUACAAGUAUGUAAAAGGGGGUUCUUCAUAUGCAAUUAAUAUUUGAAGGCAGGAUUUGCAUACAAAAAAAUCUUAUUAGAAUUGCAUCCCUAAAGAUGUAUCCCUCAUUAAAGAAUAAAGAUUCUCUUAAGUAACAAUGAUUAUGUUGAAGUUUCAUUCGUUUCUUAUUCUAAUAUUUACAUGUUUGGGGUACAUAAUUUCAAUUUUUUAAUUAGAAUUCUGAUAAACCAAAAUUGUAUAUCCAAGUUAACAGUAGACCUUCUUCAAUGUUUUGCAUGUUCAUAGUAAAAGCAACUUAAGACGCAAGUAUCAGUCAAAAAGAGAACAUAUCACCUAAAGAACUUCCUGAGCAGCAUAGCUAUAAUUAGAUAAUUAGUGAUAGCAUGAUACGCAAGUAUCUGCUUUGAUUGGGAAAAAUAGAGAAAGUGCCAUAGCAUGUAAUAUACAUCUUUGGCAUGAAGUAAAGAUUAACUGAUUAAAAAUAUUUAGCUUAUCAGAUGAAUCAUAUUUAUUACAUACAAGUUACAACUGUCUUACUUCCUUUUUUCUUCUUUGUUCCAAGGCAAUAAAGCCAAGGAAGGAAAAAGGUAACUCUUAAAGCAAAUUAGGGAAAUGGAUCCAAACAGUGGAUCCAUCUGAAAAUAAACAAAAAGCAAAAGCUUUCUUACAUGUGGAUUUUUUCCACAUACUAGCAAGCAAUUGACUAAAAGAGAGAGACAUGCUGCAAUGAGCCUAAAGAGCAUUUUUUCCACCCUUUAUUUCUUUCAUAGGUAUACCAAUUCAACAAAUAUGACCACGUGUUGCACAGCUUCCUAGGUACAAAACAUUAAUAAGUUUGCUAUUUCAAAGAAUCAAACUCAGCAAAAGCUCAAGAAUUAGACCAAGGUUUUGCUGUUUCUUUUCUUCUUUCAGAAUAAGAUGGUUACCAAUCAUAGUAAGAGAGGUUCUGGUGGCUCAUACAUUAAGAAGGAUCGUGAUUAGUUACAUUUGGAUAAAGGGUGAAGACCUGAAGAGACCAUACAAUGUUUCUUACGACUCAAGUGACUCUUACAUAUAUGAGGAGAUCAAUCAACUUGUUUUCAAGUAGAUGAUUUUGAAGAACUUCUGUUUGGUGGAUAUUACAUAUCCCUUCAGCGUCUGUCCCUCCAUCUCUAGUUUCUCUACCUUGUCUUUAAUGAUCGUGAUUUGCAUUUUACUUCUUAAUUAUAAGUUGAGAUGGUGAAUAAGUUAAUACAUGAUUCUUCAUCUUGCUUGGCUAACACACCCUUGCUCAUGAAUUAAAACAUAUCGAUGGUUGCCACUAAGUAAGGAGCAUGCUAUAAAAUGUCAACCUUCAGAUGAAACAUAUUUCAAUCAAUUAAGAUGACCCAUGUUGGACAAAGGUUGUUGGUUAAGUAUGCCAUCAUACUUUGAUCAAUAAAGACAAACAUUUUCAAAUAUACAAGUGACAUAAUUCAUAGUCUUUCAUUCAAUAAAUCCCUAAAAGAAUCAAGAGGUACUUUAGCAACAAGAUGAGAUUGGCUAUCAAAAAUGCACUAAGGGAUGGUUUAAUUAUAUAUGGACUUAUAAGAACAGACAAUUGUAAAAAUUGGAUUUAUAUGGACUGACAAAAUGGGUGCCCCUGGUUCUCAUAUUAGUCAUUUUUAGGUUGUACAAAAAGCCAGUUUCCAAAACAAGUUUACUAGAAAGCAAACAAUCAAGUGUCUCCAUAAAGCUCACAUAUUCUAGGUUUUGUGUGAACACAGGUAAAAUCUAACAAGCAAACAGCCCCUUAAGAGUUAAAAGCGAAUAUUUUCCUUAAAUCUCUCAAAAUUAAGCAACGUACAUGAUAACAAUAUGAAGCAAUAAUCUUGACGUAGACAAGAAUGAUCUUAUAUGUUUGUAAAUCAACAGAAAUAUCCAGAAAAUGUUAUUUUUGCUCUCCUUAUAACCACUUUGUUCCAAUGUAGAGGAGUAUGAUGCACAAGGAAUGAUAGCUCAAUUCAAGAGGAAAUAAUAAACCAUAUUGAUAAGCAGUUUUGACAAUAACAAUUGACCUACAUUCUAGAAUGUUGCUACAGCCAAUAAUCAAGUUAAGGAAACAUUCCGAUGUCGCAACUGUAUAAGGCUUGAGGUCAAUAUUGACAAGCAAAGAUACAACAGCUGGAUGAAAAUAAGCUAUUGAAGUCUUCUCAACUAGUUAGAAAGAUUAGUUAUUGACUUAUUGCCCUUGCAGCUAAAACAUGCAUUAUCAAAAAGCAGAACAGAUAACAAAUGCUGGUGUUAGCACACAAAAGUUGUAAAUUUCCAAUGGAGAAAAUAGACAACUACCUCCAUCUCCAUUUAUAAAAGAUAAUAUUUCAUCAACUGAACGCUCAUCUUUUUGCGGUUCUUCAACUUCCACAUCCUGGAAAAAGUAUUUGUGUUCCUUCAGUGACCAAAUCUUAGGAGCAUUCAAAAUGUAAGACAUAGUAAAUUUGCUAUAAUAAAUAAAAUAAUUAGAUGUCUAGACCUAAUAGCAAAGGAUAUAUUGGAUCAAUAUUCGCAAUCUCGGUAUCGAACCCCAUACCGAUGACAUACUGGUAUAGUAUUGGUAUAUCCGGUAUGGGAGUUAGCUUGACACCAAGAAUUGGUAUGCCCUCGGCACCGAGUCAUAGUUUAAUACUGGUAUGGUACAAUACGCCUAGUCUGGGGCAGUACACAUCGAUAUAGCGAAUCUUUCAUUGGAUUAUACUUUCAGAAAAAGUAACAAAUAGUUGUACCAAAAUAAUCACCAGACUAUGAUAGUGUCACUACCUUUUGUUUCUGACGCUCCUUCAGUUCUUUUCUUUUUUUAGCAUAUAGUCGAUUUAGUAGCCUGAUCCGUAAAUCAUCAUUAGUAUUUUUCAGUGGCUCUAACUUCUCUUCCUAAAAUAGCCAAGAGAGGAAUGGCAUGAUUGUGAGAAGUCUCUAAAAAACAAAAAGAAAAAGAAAAGAGGAAUUUAAUGCAACAAAACCUCGGUAAGAUCAUCUGGCAAAUGAAAAGUCUCACGAAUUUCCUCGGGUGUUUUUCCUUCAAUCAUGCGGGCAAGCGCUCGACUAGUGAGAUCAACCAAAGGCUUUAGCUGCAGGCUGUCAGCUGCAGAAGUCAACUCGCAUAAUCUUUUGGUAUCUAUCCUGAUGAAUUUCUCAUCGAAAGUUUUUCGCUCCUACACAUUACAAAGAAAAUUUAUGAUACAAGAGAUUGUGUACAAAGAAUACAUAACUUUCAGUAUCCCUUUAUACAAAAAGAUCUUACGGCAGGAUAAUAGCCACAAUAGCAGAUAGUUAUUAUCAUCAUACUAGCGAACUAGCGGGUCAUACAUAUUAGUAAUAGAACUUUCCAGAGAUAAAUCUAGUAUGCAAUGGACUAUGCUAAUGAAAACCACAAAUACAGCAAGAUUUAUCAAAAGAAAAGAAUGUGAUAUCAAUAAGACAAGUAUUGAACUUUAUCAAACCUUGUUAGAGCGGCCUGGAACCUGAUGAAAGCGACAAUAAUCAAGAAUCAAGCUAAGUAUGGGUGGGUUAACUCUUUCUGGUAAAGAAAUGGCAUAAUUCUUAGAAGAUCCCAUGCCCGUCUGAAGUAUUUCUCGACAUAUCAUGGGGCAGAACAUAGCAACCUCCUCCUCAACUUGCUGGAUUGAUCCAUCAGUACAUUGGAGCCAGACAUAAGACUUCAUAGCCUAUUAGAGUAUAAUGAAAGAAUGUUGUAUCAUUCAAAAACUUUAUUAGCGGGCUUCAUAGGUACACUAACAUUGGAAAGUUCAAUGGACAAUGAAAAAGAAACACUUUUUAAAAGUUACAAAAUGUGACCACAUUUUUCUUAUGAUGACUAUAGAUAUAAAACCAAAUGCAUAAAACUGACAUACAAAGAAUAGAUAAAAAUUAUCUGCUAUUAAAUUUGAAAAUGAAGCCUACAGGCAGAGUAGAUUCAGGUACAUGUCUCCAGUAAACAAUCAUUAUAGCAGAUAUACAGUUGCACAAAAUGGUCCAUGUGCAAUAGAUAUGAAGGUUUAAGUUAACAUAAGAAAGAUUAGAGCAAAAUCUGACAUACCUCUGGUUUGAUAAUUGCCAUCUCACUUUCUGACAUUUGAUGAUAGCCUCUUAGUACGUAAGGCAAAAGAGAAUAAACACAUAGAUAGAGAGGAAAUUACUAAAUUGCUCCUCCAAGCUCAAAGUUUCUAGACUGGACAAUAUAUAACGAUGUUCCCAAGCACAAACACUUCUGAUUAUAUAAUAGGUAUUGGCUGUUAACAAAAACAACACCAAACAAUAGACAUUUCAAGAACAUGUUUGUCCUCGUUUCUUCUUGGGAUAGCCUCUUUAACAAUCAUCCAGUCAUAGGCAUCACUUCAGUAGGAUGUUAAUAAAACAAUUGGGUUAUAAAGUCACUUGCUUGACCUACCAAAAAAAAGAGAAAAAUUAGAAAGAUGAUACAGGAUCCUUCCUAUAAACAUAACAAUAUAUGCCAAUAACAAAAUGCCCAUGCCCAAAACAGAAAGAUCUGCCUGCACUACAACAAGCUCUAGCAUCAAAAUUAGAGGCUCCAUGCAUGGGUUUUUCUCCGAUUGCUUCUUUUGUUCCAAAUGGACUUCCUGACCUGACUCCUCUAUUUCUCUAAACUAGUAAUAUCUUUCUUAAUUCAAAAAUCUGAAUCAGAUUGUUUACCAGCUCUACACCCAUGGGAAUAUGCAAGUUGCAGACAAUAAAGUACAAGCAAAUAUUACCGUUGAUGAGGAAAUUGAAGGUGGGAAAUCAUUUACUCAAACAAAGGUCACAUUUUUUAUGUAAGAUAUAUUCUUAUUGUUCUUUUACCCAUUGCAAACUUACAAAUUCAACAUGAAAUUUCAUGGACUGAGAUGCAAAUCUCUUGCACAUUCGGCCAAACGGCACUCACAUCAGCCAAAUAUAAAAUAAUAAGACGUGAAUGAGCGAAUAAGAAAUUGCCUGAUUUAAAUGUGACAUGGAUAAAAAUGGAGUUGAGAAAAUGCUAGAUAAGGAUCCUGACACAAACAUCUUAAGACACACUAAACCAUUUAAGAUGAGCUAGUUAACAAAUUCAACCAAGUAAUGGAACAAUCUAAAGAAAAACAGAUCACGGAAAAGCAUGUUCCCUGAGAACCAAAACCCAACAAAAGAACAUGUGCAAUUGGAAAAAAAUGAGCUAUACUAAUCAUUGCAUGUAAGCACAUUACUAGAAGCAGGAAAUUUAAGUCAAUUGACUGAAUGAAAUCAUAAUAAUCAAAAGACAUCUUCCAAGAAGCAAGAAUUUUCAACAUAACCAUCUAAUACUAUUCUACUUCAGCAAGAAAUUUAUCAUAAAUCACUUGGUCAGAGAACUAUUUUGAGGAAAGAAAUCAAGCAUGAGAUACAUAUAAGCCUCCGCAAGAUGUUCAGUAGAAACACUAUUCAAACCUCACGAACAGAUAUCAUUGUUCAGAUAAAUUAUAAUUAUUUCGUAAUAGCUUCUUUUUCUGUUUUUGUUUUCAAAAGCCCCAGGACAGUGAACUAGACUAUUCAACAUGUACAGUGGAACCUUUUUGUUUUUUUAAAUUGUUUGUAAAAUCUCUAAAGAUUUUGGUAGGAAAGAUUUAUUGCAUUUAAAAAAUAGUGAAAAAUCCUGAUAAUGCUUCCGCAAGAAGCAUUAUCAGGAUUUUUCUCCAAAUGCUAUCUUCAUCAUCAAUCUCCUUAUGUAUUUCACUAAAUUUGUAGAGAAACAAAAAUACUAAAAAGCAAUGAUGGCAUAAGCCUGCAUAAGCCCAGUUUUACCAAGAAAAGAAAAAGAAGGAAAGAAAUGAACAAAAUAUCAAACGGAAAAAAAUAAAAUGGAUUACCAAAUUAAAAUCCAUUUACAUGUAGCUUUAGAAGACGCUACAAUAAAUCUAUUUAAACAUCUAAAUCCAAAUUAUUCUCAAUAUUAACCGACAAUCCCAUCCAAUCAUGGAAUGAGAAGAACUCCAAACAGUUGUAAUCCAUAAAUAUGAGCUGCAAAAGAUCUUGACAGAACCAGUAGUGCCCCAACCCCCUCCCGCCAACCUAAAACCAAAUGAAAAUAGCUACUCGGGACCAACAUUUAAAAGACAACUGCCUGCAAUAAUAGACAUGGAACCCAAAAAUAAACAAAAAACCUGGAACCAAAUACCCGGAAAAAUCCCACCUUUACUCCAAUAUCCGAGACCUCACCCAAAAUUCGUCCCAAGAACCCAGAAUCCCCCGCUAAAAAACCCUCCAAAAGAAUGAAUCUCUCCGCACUUCACCCACCAAAAGUAGCGUCAAAACCCAAUAAACCAGCAAAUCCACGCCACCUCGCGGAUUAAAAACCCACAGCCACCCGACUCCCAGCCCAUUUCAUCAAAACCGACACACAAAUAGAAAAAGGAGACCAGGAUUCAAGAUUCCGCUACCUGAUACCGAGCCGCCGCGAACUGCUCUCUAGGGUUCCCGGCCGUCCCCGAUGACAGAACCAAUCGAGGAAGAAGCGAACACGCGAGAGAGAGAGAGAGAGAGAGAGAUUACUAAGUAGGUGAGGGGGCCGGAGGGCGGGAUGGGGGAAUUCUAGGGUUUUGAAGGGUUUCUUCCCGAUUUGGGACCGGGGAGGCGGGGAGCCGCUUUCCGAGCCUCGGAAGAGAGAGAGAAAGGAGGACAGCAAGGGGCGAGCUCUAUCUCGUGCGCACGCCGCUGCGUAGCUUGCCGACCCGUUGUUUCUUACUCUCGUUGGUGCCCUCCGACCCGCAUGCGGGAACCAUUAGGCGCGUGGAGUCGAACCAUACGGCCGAUGGAGGCAUCUGAGCGGACGGGUGGGCCGUUGCGCCAUGUAUGCAGGACUUGUCUUAUUUCUUCCUAUGCUAGGGGGGAUCCUGCAUAUAGUCUUUGUUGUGGUGCACAUGGUGAGGUCGUUGCGUAGAGAAGGUUGUGCGAUUUAUGUUUAGGAAUUUUUUUGUCAGGAUAAUGCAAUAUUAUUGGACAAUCAUAUAUAGGAUUACUUCUUAUGCCCUAAAUCUGGAGCAUGAUAUGACUGUGCUAUCGAGGGGUACGGUCCACAAUAACACAAAGCCAAACAUUAGAUCUUAGAUUUCAAAUUAAUCUCAAACAAAAUAUGAUUUAUAAAGAUUCAAUUUCAUUAUCCAUUAAAUACAACCAACAUUGGUUCAAAACGUCUAAAUCAAAUGUAAAUACCAGACAUAUAAUCCUCAACAUUCAAAAAAAUCAUUAACUACAAAUUUAUAGUCAAUUUAAAAGGACCAUCCUUGGUUCCUUUCGAUUCGGCCCUAUUCGUCUGGAGAGAGAAAAAUAAAAAUAGAAAUACAUGAACGGCACAACUCAGUAAACAAAUAUUACUCUACCUUACCAGAUCAAGCAUAAAAUUUUUCAUGUCAAUACAUCAUUUAAAGAAUAUAACAAAUAUUCCAAAUUAAACAUUUUAUAGUAUAGUAUAUCAAGUCAUAAAACAAAUCAUGCAUGAAUAAAUCAUCCAUCUUUCAUAAACAUAGUUUUAUUUAUAUUGCAAAUAAAUUCAUAAAUCAUUCUUCACGUCGUUUAAUCCUAUCAUAGAUCAAUCAUUGCUCACAAUAUUCAUACAAUGGUUACUGUAACUAGUGACCGGGCCAUCUUCGUAAUCGAUAAAAUAUUAUAGUCCAUAUUUGUUGUCAACUUUAACCCAUUGGCAGAUAGCCAUUUUCAUUACAUGCUAGCUCCAGGAUGUCGAUUGGCCCCAUUUCUAGAGGCGGUCAUAGUAAUCUAAGAGUCUUUAGCAAACUUAUAUAUUUUUCUUAAAACACACACAUAAAUAGAUAAAAAAUACUAAUGUCAUGAUCAGAUUUAUAUUUCAUAAUAUUACUAUUUUUAUUAAAAUAUUCAUAAAACUAUUUUUUAUAAUAAAAAUAUGAUUUUCAUAAUACAUAUGCUGACCCAUAAUUUUAAGAAAAGCAUGAUAUUUUUACAAGCAAAUUUUAUGUACGAAAAAAGUGAUCAUUUGAAAAAAAUAAGGAGUAUAAGAUCUACUUACUUUUUUUGUCUUAGAUUAUCAGAUUUCGCUUGGCGGCUCUGCUAGACCUAUUUGAAAUAAUAAUAGCGAUUUAAUUUCUAAUUAAUAACUUUAAAUAAAUAAUUCAGACUGAGCGUAUAGAGGUUUCGUGUGGGUCUGGUCUAGAUGAUUAGCUUAAUAAAUUUGACUCAAUCAGGGCCAAGAUCAAUCAACAUAGUUCAUCAAUAGAAGUUUUAGGGACAUUCAAUAGGUCGGAGUGAUCGGUCCAAGAGGUGGCCCGGGUACCAAGGCAGUUCAAGGCCUCUUUCUAGGGGUCAACUCGAAUUCGUAGAUCAUGUCGACAAGACCUGAUUCGAGAUUUCAUAGAUCUUCUAGACAGAAAGUAGAGAGAGGAGAGUGAAAGAGAGAGAAAAUAUAGAAGAGGGAAGAAUCUUUCUUCUCGUCUCUCUUCUUCCUUUCUCCCUCACCUCGAUAGUCCAGCUGCCCACCUGACAUGCGGCCUCAGGUGGCUGCAACCUCAGCCAAACCUGGCGGUUAGCGGUGGCUAAUUAUGGCCGAAAUAGUAGUGCUAUGUUUCAGAUGAUAUUCUAGUGAUUGUCGGCUCAAAUCCAAGAAAAUGGAGGCCCAAAAUUCUAAGAAAGAAAGAGGAGGAGAUGAAGAACUCAUACCUUAGUCUGGCGAGGCUUUCCGGCAACGAAUCGACGAGAAGACUCGGAGAAGAAUCGUCGAGAUCGGCAAAGAUUCUUGGACUCAUUAUAGAGAGCUUUCAAUGGAGGAGGAGGAGGAGUUAAAUAGGCAAAAUGCUAUAGUUCUAAUCGAACUCGAAUUGGAAUCAGAGGAGGAUAGGAGUCUUCUUCUCCGAUGCAUCAUGCCACAGGGCACGGUGGCCUUGGGUCUGGCCUCUUCAGGCCGGCCCACAAGCCUAAGGGCUAGGAUGGGCGCUGUAGGGUUGGGCGCUAUCAGGUUGAGCCUGGCCUCUCCGAGAUGGCCCAUGAGCUCUAACAAUUAGGGUUAUUACAUUGCUAGUGGCCACAAAUACAUAUUUGUAAAUUAAUUUGGCAUGGCCCUCGUGGAUGCUCUAACGACAAAGUACGGAAGGAGAAAUAUUGUACAUACUAACAUGGACCAUCUUAUAAAUCUUGAAGAGUGAACAACAAAAAAAAUAAAAUUUUGCUUUAGAAUAAAUAGAUAAAAUAUAUAAUCCUUCUUUUUAUUAUUCCAUAUGGUGAUAGUGAUGUCGUACACACUUCUUAACAUAAUGGAAAGUAGAUGUUUAUGAUUUUAUUUGAUGUUCUCUGUAACAAUAGUCGCUACAGUAGCUAUUGUUGUUAUGCAAAAGAAUGUACUUAGGACAAGUAAAUAAUCCUUUUAAAGCAUUUUUAAAAGUUAACAACAAGCAUUCAUAAAAUAAAAAUUAAAUAAUUAAUAAUUGUUGUAUAUCACAUUUACAUCUCAAUAUGAAACCAUAUAAGGAAAUCACAAUUAAUCAAGAAGUGACUUUUUGAAGCAUUUUGGUAAUUACUAAUUCAUAUAUGACACUAGUUAUAUAUCACGAGACCAUUACUUAUAAUUUAGUCAAUUUGCAGAAUACAAUUUAGGAUCUACCAAAAAUCACAUACAUCUUUACCGACACAUAUACAUACAUAUACAUAUAUACAUAUAUAUAUAUGUAUGUGUGUGUAUACUUAUACAUAUAUGCAGGUGUGUAUGUAUAUAUGCAUAUGUGUGCAUGUAUUACUAACCCUCCCUCCUCUUAAAGAGAGAGAGAGAGGGAAAGAGAGAUGUUUGUUUAUACAUAAAUUUUAUAUACGAUAAACAGAUGAGUUACAACUGUUCUAUAAUUUUAUAUAUUAUAAUAAGAAUUUUUAAAAAUCAAAAUUUUUUCCAUAUAAUUCAUUAACUUUUUAACUAAAGCGCAUGAACUUCGAAAUUUUUUACACUUUCAAAAAAAUGAAAAAAAUUCUAAUUUGGUAACUUUUGACUUGAUAUUUAUUUCUUAUCCUUAAGUUCUUUCGAAAUAAUCAGCUUUCUACUUUUAAUCUCUAACAAAUAAAGAAGCUGGUUAAAAUAUUUAUUAAAAUAAUUAUUAUUUGGCUUAAUAUUAUUAGAAGAGAGUGCUAUGUGGCAAAAGCCUUUAAUGGAAAAUGCGUAAUCAAAUAUUACGAGAUUCAACAUAGUGUAGGCUAUGAAGAUGAUAAUGUUGAUAACUAUAGAAUUUUGUUGUUUUGUAUAUACUGGGUAGAUCUUGUACACUUAUAUAGGACUAAGGAACCUAAAUGAUACCUUCUGGCUAAUUUUUUUUGAUGAAGUCCAGAUUGUUACAUGAACAAUGAACAAUAAUAAAAGACAUUUUGUAUCUAAUAGUCAAGAUUUGUCUUAUUAGUUUUGUUUCUUCCUUUGUUAAUGUAGCUCCACAUACAAAGAACAUGAAUAGGAUGUGAGAUUUAGUGAGCAGAUAUCAUCUUAAUAUUUUAAUGUUUGUCAUCCUUUUAUAUUUUGGACCAGCAGUUAGGCAUUGUAUGCUGUCAAAGUUUGAGAAUCUAUAUUCAUGCUAUUCUUUGAGAGCCAACUAUUUGGCAUUCAUAUCACUUUUAAGUAAAUUUUAAAAGCAAUGUUGGAGCAAAGCAAAUUUUCUGCUUGUUGGAUCAAAAUUGUUCUAUAAGUCUUGUGAAAGUACCUCCUUGUCUUUUUAUUGAGACUAUGCAGUACAAAACAAAGGCAUGUUAUUUGCUUGAACACAAACUCUUGCUACUCUAAAAUAAGCUUUUAUGUUGUAUUUCUUUCAGAAGUUUCAAGAACAAAGAGCACGGCAUGGGAGCAAGCACCUCUGUCUCAACCUAGAAAGAUCAACCUGCCUCUGUCUUUUCCUUGAGCCUUCCAAUAGAUGAUUUUCUUGGAAGCAAGCUCAUGUCGACCCUGUUUCUCUGCUAAUCUACCAAUCUUCUUAUUUAAGGUCGAGUUCCUCUUGACCAACAUUAUAAGGUUUGCAUCCAAAAACUUCCAUCCUUCCAAGAGUUUGGAUGUUGCCUGCCUAACUUAGCUCCAAAGAAGAUCAUUGAAAGUGACUCCAUUGGUAGUCUAUUAGACAUCUUUAGGUGCUUGACUUGGUUGCAGCAUGGAAAAUCACUUCAUCUUUUUUUUUUUCGUUGCAGGACUUUUUUUUUUUUACAGUUUUCAGUUAUGAUAUGCUAUAGCAAGAUUGGAGCUGUAUUUCCUGUCAAAAUCUAUAAUGCAGGUGAAUAGUUUACAAUUUACUCUUUUGUUCUUGUAUCAUCAAUUAUUCUUGGUAGGAGGAGCAGUUUUUUGACAUAGAAUGUAAGAUAAUUAAUGAUCCAAGUUCGGAUCUGAAAAAUGAAAAAGUAAAAGUAAAAAUAGGCCCAACAAGGGAUUCUAUUGAGUUAAUAGAAAUUUCAGCUGAAGACACUGCACAAUAAAAGAUUUUCAAAGUAUGAACAAGGUACGAACCUAGUUUUUGAUCCAAAAAUGAUCACACACUCACUGCAAACUUCAAGAGAUCAUAAACUUCUAAUAUGAUGUUUUCUUUUUGGCUUCCACAUGUCAUAAAAAGUCAGCUCGAUGUGGCAAGCCAUCGAAUGCUUGUAAAUGUUAUUUGAGUUCAUUUUUCACCUCAAAACACUUGAUCGGACUCAUUUUCAGAAAUUUUAAAAAUUGUUUGAAUGGCCAUAUUUUUCAAUCUAUGAAGAAUUUGGUGACGGCAGAUGGCAGCAUUAAUAGUGGGUCAGGCCAUUCUAUGGCCUGCUUGACCCAGCCCACAUCAUUAAAAAGGUUGGGCCAAUAUUUCUACUGGGCAGGGCUGGGGUCACAAACUUUUCGCCAGAUUUAAAACAGAGCCAGCUUGGACUGGUCAAUUCUGAGCCCCAAGGCCCAACAUGGAUUGGCCCGGAUCAAUAUAUAGCAUGUAUAUAUAUAUAUAUAUAUUUGGUAAUGUAUAUAUUAUAAAAUAUAGUAAGAAUAUAAUACUAAAAUCUUCAAACUAUGUAGCUAAACAUACUAGUUGUUUAAAAGAAAAAAAGAACUAUUCUUCUAAAUAAGGAUUGUUUAUAAACAUCACUAUAUGAGGGGAAUGAGAGUGUUCUGUUUUUAAAUUUUGAUUUUUGGCUAAUUUCUGCUGGCCUAGUUUUAAUCCGAGUCCACAUGUAACUCAUUGGACUGAGCUCAGGCCCAUCCGAGUCCACUUGUAACCCAAGCUGAGCCCAAGAUCACCUUUGACCUAGCCCAACCUAUCCCAUGGGAGAACUAAUUCCCCAUCCAAUUCCAAUAUUUCAUUUUAAAUUUUGAAAAUAUUCAUUUUUCAUAAAGAAAAUCCAAAUUAAAUGCAUAGAUUUGAACCUCAUUAGUAUUAUAAGUCUUGUACGCUGGUUUUUUAUAUUAUUUUUCAAGUAGGAUACGAGGCAAAAAUCGUAUCUUCCAUUUUGUUACUAAAUUUGUUUUAUUAUAAUGUAUUAAGGCUACCAAGUCAAAAGUCAACCUAAUUAGGAUAGCAUCAAAAAAUGAGCAAGGCUCGAUUGAGUCUUGCCGAGUCUUUCAUGGCCCAAUCCAAUUGCAAGUAAUAAAAAAGUAGUCAAAUCAUAUUUUUAUUCUUUUUCAUUUAUUUAUUACAUUAAUUUGGUCGAGUUAUUGCAGAGUUAGACUGCAUCUGUAACAACCUAUGAUCUUACCUAAAAUGGUCAGCCGGAAAGUAUUAUUUGGCUACUUUAAUCAUAUAUAAGUACUCAAAAUCUAUCCAGCAAAUAACUGACGUUUGACUAAACACACAUACGUACGGAUCCUCACAGCAUUAUUGCUGAAUAUGUGGGAGUUGAGAGUCUAAAGAGUACGGUGGAAGCGGGAUUCUACUCAAACCAAACCAACCUGGUACUCAUUGGGCCAGUUCAUAGUAGUUCUGCGACUGAUUGAUUCGAGUGUAAUUCUGAAAAUUAGAAACCUAUUGGUAUUAGUUUGAGACUUCCAUCUGCACCGGUAGGGUUACAAGUUUUCUCUUGUUAUUUUGCUAGAGUUCUGCAUGUGGAAUGCACGUAGAAUUCUCCUUUCUUUUUUCUUCCAGUCAGCGGGACUUGCGAGAGGAGAGGAAGAGGGGUUUACAGUUUUUUUUAUCUUCUCUCAUGUAUUAAGGUGGUGACAUUUGAAAAAGAAUAAUACAACGAAAGCAUGGAGAAAGAACCAGGGGACUUUUGAUGUUUUAUAUUGGGAUGGGGCUCGGAUCCAAAGCUGAAGGGAGAAGAAAAAGUAUUUGUUCCUUCGCCAUUUUGGCUUCAUGAAUUACCCAUUGGUCAACUAAUAGAGCACACUCUUUGAGCCUUGACUAGUUCUCUCUGAAAAAAAAAGGAGAAGGAGUACCACACAAUCAUGCAUCUCCUGAGCUUUCCUAGCUGAUAACUAAUUCAAAAAUGCUAUAGUAACUCAAAUAUGUCACUUUUGUAUAAAAAAAACUCUGAAUGUGUCACUCGAAGUCACUCAGCUGGUGUGGCGUAUUUGUCCAUUAUUUUCUUUAAAUUGGUAUCACGAAGUAUUAAAGUUUUUUAUUUAAUGAAGCAAAGUGUUUUAAUUAGUUAGACGCAAUCAAUUGCAUAUAAGAGCUUUAAUUAGUAAGCUGCUAAAGCUAAGCUCGUUUGAUGAAAGGAGCAAUCGAGCUCGAGCUGAAUUUGGCAAUAUAUGCUCAACUCGAGCUCAAUUGGAAUGUGUACGGAGCUUGAACAAGCUGGCCUUGUCGAGCCAGGCUGCAGUUUAGAGUAUAACUCAAGCCCUAAAAGAUAGUUGAUCUUGGCUAAGAACAAGCUCGAACGAGAGUAGCAUCAAGCAGAGCCCUGGCCUUUACGGACGUCACGUUUUGUUUGCAGGCUUGGAUCUGUGCGCGUGAAUCAGAAAGUGUAUCACUUCCAAAGGUCAAAGAAAAGCUAUCAUAGAGCACAUACAUCCAAAUCUAAUCAUCUUAUAAAUAUGCUGAUCAAGAUACUAGCAUUUGUUCCAACCCAAGAUUAUUUUGCUGCAUAACAUAAUGACUAUUUCAUUUUUUUUAAUGACAUUCAAUAUCAAUUUGGGGGCAUGGGUUUUAAUAUUAUGUGGCUAAUAGAUGGCCGCUAUCAGAAAAUGGACAAUUAUCAAAUAUGAUAACCUUACGUGCUAUAUACGGCACCAAAUUGUUGAUAGUCCUCCAUAAUGUCUGUGGUCCUAUGUCAGCUGGCUAGCAAAAUAGUUAGAGAAAAGAGAAUUAUUCUUAAUAUCAUGAUUUAAUAGGACUUCCAUCAACCUCAAUUUGUUUUAGCUAACUACAUGUUGCAUAGCAAUUGGCCAGAUGGUGAUGCUGAGAUUGCCGACGUUAUGUUAUAUAUAAAUAUAAAAUUUACUCGAAAACCCAAUAUUAACUCAAAAAAUUAUGCAGGUUAUGUGUUGUAUUCGCAGUUGUUUUUUUUUUUUUAGCUAUAACAGUGAUUCAUACUAUUUUAAUAUGAAUACAUCUAAAAAAAUCAAAAAAAGCAAAUAUUGAAAGACUUUUGGCAAUUGUGCCCUCGUCGAUCUUGAAUGAUCCACCAUAAAAGAAGUCAUCUUGCCUACGCUACCAUUUGUCUUUCUAUAAAUAUAUCUCAUUCAACAAAAGACGCAUUCUUUUGUCAAGCUUUAAAUGUCGCAUAUCUCUGCCUUCAAAUUGGGGUAGGGAGUGGAGGAAGAGGUUGAGCCAUAUUGUUUUUUUUCUAACUAUAGUAGAGAGAAGAUAUACUUUUUUAAUUAUCCCUAUAGAUUAGUAAAAUCAUUGGAAAUUGACGUGACAGCAUUUCGCAACAAAUUUCCACCAUUCUUUGCUUCUAUUUGGCAUUGCUUCAAAACACCAAACUGAUUUCACCUACAUGGCUCCAUUCUAGUAUACCUUUUCUCCUUAGAUUUUUUUCAAAAAAUAAAAAACAAAAAUAGUACAGACAAGCAUAUAUCAUUUGCACUUUUAUGAUUGCUCGCAAUAGUAUAGAAAUUCGCAUGAAAAUCUAUCCAAUUAAUGAUUUUGCACCAAAAAAGAUAAAUUUUUUUUAUUUUACAGAAUGAUACAUAUUAAUUUGAAAAUUGAUGUACAAUGUUACCUCAAAAUCAAAGUACCAUGUAAGCAAUCCAUAACAAUACAUUUAUUAUACAUCCAGGACUCGUUUGGUUUACAGAAAGAAUUUUUUUAGGCUGAAUUUUUUUUCUGAAAAGAUAAUUCCUAGAAAUGUGAUGCCUGAAAAAAUAGUUUUGGCAUCUUUUGUUGAUCAUAGAAAAGUGGCACAUUCAAAGAUGGAGCAUCUACUUUUUUAAAAAUAUGAUAUGAAAUACCUAUUAUAUACUUAAUAAAAAAAGAUCUUAUCCAUAAAUUUCGAUGGCUUAAGGGUAUUUUUGAAAAAAAAAGAGACUCUAAUUUCCAACUGGUGAGAAAUAGCUUUUAUAUGUCCCAUAUGAAUUUAUCUUUCUCAUAAAAUAUAAAAAAUUUAUUUCCAUGAGAAUGCUACUUUUUCAUCUCCCUCCUUUAAAAACUCCAACCAAACAAAAAGUUUUUUUUUAAUUAACCACAUUUUUUUCUUUUCUUUUUUCGCGAGCCAAAUGAGUUCCCAAUCUACAAUUACUGAACACUUGUGAUACAUAAUUUAAAUAUCUAAUUUAUAUUUAUUUAGACAAUCUUUUACCUUAGAUCUAUAAGCAAAAUCCUUAAAGAUUAUGAAAUAUAUAUCAUUUCACAAAGAAAAAAAAUAGUAUAUUCUUUUCUCGCAAAAUCUAUAACUAAAUAAACUUCUCAUGCAAAACUAUGAAUAAAAUAAUAUUAAAUUAAUUUUUAAUUUUUCAAAAGAUUUUUAUCAUUUUAUAAAAAAUUAAUUUUAUAUAGUGAAUAAAAAACAACACUAUAAUUUCUCUAUUAAUACCUGUAUUUUUCAUCCUUGACAUUGUUACUAAAGUCCUUUUUUUUUAAAUUUAUUAUCUAGGGCAAACUAAUACUGAAAAAUUUGAAACCGCACAUUAUGCGACUGCACCACGACGCCAAAGGCCCAAAGCUAUGAAGCAUCCUUCCGUGGCACCAUUCUUUGCCUCAUAGCAUUACUCAUCUUAUGUCAUAAUGGUCAUUAUGGUGUCAUUUAUUACAACAAAAUCAUGUGGUUGCAAAAGACUUCGGAAAUAGGCAUCAAAUGGUUUCUCUCCAGAGAACGCUGCCAAGUUAACCUAUAACAUGGUUUAUUAGUGUAUCAGCAUAAGAGAAGAUAUUUUUGAAACAACAAAAAAAAGAUAAUUUUACUUGGCCGAUGCUAAACAUGGUUUGUUAGUGUAUCAGCAUAAGAAAAUAUAUUUUAGAAACAAAAAAUCAGAUAAUUUUACUUGGCCAAUGAAAAAAUAUUAUUUCGAUCCAUUUUAUAAGUAGAUGCUGUUCGUAGAAAAAUAACUUAGUAAUUUCUUUUUAUCGAGGCAUGAAAAUAUAGAUAAGUUGGUUGAUGGAAUAUUUUUUUAUUUGAAGAACGGUUAGCAGCUAUAUUUGGCCACCUCAUCAUGUGAGGCUGGUUGCUGUCGAAGACCAGACAGCUGAUCCGGUAAUGACGCGACGUGGGGACACGUGGAGAGAGGGUAAGGUGCGGUGGGCCGGACUUUCCUUGUCACUGUGGUUGGCAGUGGGGCCCGGGUUUCAUGUGGCCAGCGGAGGGAGUGAGGUGUUUCACAUGCGAUUUCUCCUCUUGUGGUAGCCCACAGAAAAUUAGAGUGAAGACUUAAGGGGAUUGAGGAGUGGAUACAAGGUGGAGGAUUCCCUUUGGACCCCCCUACCUUCUUCCAAUAAUGCUGAGUCCUCAAAGAAUGAUGAUGAUUGACAUGUACACAAACAAAUGUUAAAUACCAAACAUUCUGUUCAUUUGCCACUAAAUUAAGCUACAUUGUGAGAGGAUGCAACUUGCAUUGUGUUGGUGCAAACGUUUACAGGCUAGCUAACACUAUUGGAUAAGGAGUAACAUUGAUUUGGUUGAAACCUAGAAGUUUUAUGUGAGAGGAUCACUUGUAUAGUUAUGGCGGAAGGCAAGGUUUACAUACCUUUGAGAUUGCCCUGCUUAGAAGUUUGGCACCAAAUUAUGGAAGGUUGGAGCGGAGAUAAGUUCGAUGUAAAAUGGUUCACAGCAUAUAGGGCGUCUAACAUUCAUGUAAAUAUUUGUUGAUUCUCUCGGAAAUCCAUAAUCAUUUAUUCUAUUUGUUUGUUGCUAUUAAUCAUGAUGACUGAGAUUAGAUGAAGUUACGAGUUAAUACAGACUCGAUGCGCAAAGCGUUCAUUAUAUGCCAGACCAAGAUUGAUUGUAUUUAGUAAUUUAGAGACUGGCAUUUCAUCGGGCGAAAUGGUCAAUUUUGCUACUUCUAAUCAACUUUGGGAUCUAGAUUAUUCUAAAAGAAUGCACGCCAUUUUCUUAUGAAGAGCAUUAAAUUCAAUAUGCACCAAAUUCUAUUAGAUGAAGAGUAUGUGUAACUUAAAAUCAUGUAUGCAUCCAGAUACUUGGCAUAGACUUAACAGGGGUCGACAUUAGGUUUAGUAAUAGAAGUAAGCGGACUCUUGGAGCUUGAAAUAAACCCUUCUAUUUAGAAUCUCGAUGUAGUUUAUUAAGUGCCAUUAACCAUGAUAGUUUGAACUUGAUGAUGCUUGUUAUUCCAUGUAGCUUUAUUUCCAAACAAUUGAGGCUUCCUAGGUAUUCCACAAAUGAAUGUACACUGUGUACAACCAGAAGGGAAGGAAGUAAUAAAACUUCGCAGCCUCAUAUAAUAAUUUCUUGUGCUAAGUAUAUGCGUAUUCUCGUGGUUAAGGCCAACCAUACAAUGACAUCGAUGUUUUGGCUCACACUAACAAAGACACGAAGCGAACAUGAUUUUUUUUCCUUUUUUGCUUCACAUUCCAUGUAUUACAAAUCAAACACAACAAAUUGUUGCAAAGGCUAUAAUUGAUGACGACAAAAUUGUAUUAAUUUAAGGGGUCUUGUAAUGCUCCAUUGGAGCACAUAUUAGAUAUGCAAGAUCUGAACAGAACGUACCUAUGAUCAAUUUGUAAUUAGAAUCUCAAGCAAAUGCAUUGUAACUUUCUUUUACAAAUAUGCAACCUUAAUUAGAAUCUCAGCUUCUUCAUUAAGCAUGUUUAGUGAUGCCAACAAGUUGAGGGAGUUCUUCAAUUGCUUGUCUCUGGUCGGUAAAUCAAGCCUUCUCUGUUGGUAGUCAAGUCUUAAAAUCUAUCUCGAAUUUGACUCUCUGUUUUUUACUAACAAGUUUCAACUAGCCAGUUGGUCUGCCAAACCUGAAAGCAAGAAGCUCCAAACUACUUCUUCAAAUCCAUGGUACAAGAUACGAGUAAUGGGUUAGACAAGCCAUUGCCUACCUCUGUGAAACACGCAGUGCACUAGCCGUUGUAGCACCUUUUCCUCAUGCCAACAAUUAAGCUCAAAUAAUUUCAAGCCAUUGCUCCUUUCAGGAACAAAAGUCAAGCCAUCGCGCUCCACAACGGUCAUCUCUCACCGGCAAUGACGCCAUUCGAUGCACCGGCAAUGUAACUUCGAGUUCAUAGUGGAAGUAAGUAUCUCCACAUUCAAAUUUUUGAUUUCAUCUCUUAUAACCUUAUUUAUUCUAUGAAGACUCUUUAGUUAUUAAUGAUGUUCUUGAAGAGUAAUAAGCUAGGUGUAAAGCAAAUGGGAUGCUAUCAAAAUUAUUUUCCAUUUAAUUUGAAAAAUAUUUGUGGCAUCUAUAGUUUUUGGACAAUGAUUUUUUUAUAGAUGUAAAGGUUCCAUCAGCAGCUGUUCCGUGGUCCAUUGAAACGCUGGACUUUGUGUCCACUUGCACCAUGGAAGCGAUAAAGAAUAAAAAGCCAUUGCCAACUCUGUCCGUCUCAACGGAUGCACAAUUUUUUCAAAAGCUCACUACGAGCCAAAGUGCGGUCCCACAGGAAACCAAAUACGUUCAUCAUGCGUCCAAGAUUAUGUUGUGGGAAAAAAAAAGUAAACAGUAAAUCUUAGGUCUGCCAAAUGAAAUCCCAGAAAGAGAACAAAGAAGAUAAGCGCGAGCGACCGACCUCCCUGGCAUUGUCCCCCACAAGUCUAUGGCCUUUUCCAGAACAAUCUAAACUCUAUUUAACUUCUUCUUCUCUUUUUUUUUUUUUUUGCUUGCUUGCUAAAACAAAUGACUCAUGUAAUUCUACUACGAAUAUAUUUUAAAAACUAAAAAAUAAUAAAUUUUGAAACAUUCUAAACAGCUCGCUCUCUUUGAUAUUUUCAGAGUGAUUUAUCAUAUACGAGGCCAUGCAGUCUGCCAUUCUAUUAAUCUCUCUGUAGAUGUGGCUAGCUGCCACAUCGCCACGGAUCAAAGCAAUCACGGUCCGGAUGUCCUGCAGCAAAGGGUGGCACCCUACCUUUAUUUUUAUUCAUUAAUUCUAUCUCCUUAGCCUUGGAGGUGGACCACAGAUUAAAGCCCACCAUUUAUUUUGUCCAUCACUGCCUCCAUAAAAGCUUCCAUCCGGUCCUUGGAUUCCCUUCAAGUCACAGGCUUUUCUUUCCUUGUUGGCUCUAUCUUCUUUUCGUUGCUUGAAGAGUUUGAGGAGGGAGAGGGAGGGAGAGCGAGAGAGAGGGAGAGAUGGAGGGGAAGGAGGAGGAUGUUAAGGUUGGAGCUACCAAGUUCGCGGAGAGGCAGCCCAUAGGUACAGCAGCGCAGAGCCAGGACAAGGACUACAAGGAGCCACCUCCAGCUCCUCUGUUGGAGCCAGGGGAGCUCAAGUCAUGGUCCUUCUACAGGGCUGGGAUAGCCGAGUUCAUGGCCACCUUCCUCUUCCUCUACAUCAGCAUCCUCACGGUCAUGGGUGUGGUGAAGUCCAGCAGCAAGUGCUCCACUGUGGGCAUCCAGGGGAUUGCUUGGGCCUUUGGAGGCAUGAUCUUUGCCUUGGUCUACUGCACUGCUGGCAUCUCUGGUAUGUGGUUUUUCCUCCCUUUUUUUUUUGGCCAGACAUUUAAUAGUUAUCUUGUGUUUUAAAUCUUGUUUCUUUUCUUUUCUUUUUUGUUUCUAGUUUUUUAAAAUUUUUGGCAGCAAUUUUCUGUUUCUAGUUUCCUAGGUAUAUCUUUGCUGAGUUAGAAGAUCCAACUUGAAGAAGUCCUUUCGCUAAGGAAAAUUUUGUAGGUGUUUAGUUUCCCUAGUCUAUUUCUUUUCUAAGCUCAUAAAAACUCAAAAAUCCUUGUCUAACCUUGAACCUGUAGCCUAUAGGCUGUAGGAGCUUUUUUUCUUUCCAUCAUUUUUUGAAGAAAAAUAGUAAUUUUUGUUUUUUUAUCUUUUUUAUACUAUAUACUGGUUUUUGCCUGUUGAACAUGGAAAUUCUUCAGUACUUGAUCCGUUUCUUUUGAUUUCGGUUUGUGUAUUACAAAGAAAUUAGUAGUAAAACCAGCUAAACAAGCAUCCUUGAGAGCUCUAAAAACUCUGAUUUCUCAACAGGGGAAAACCUUUUUUUUUUUGGUUCUUCAUAUGGAGGAGUAUUAUUAUUAUUAUUUUUUUUUGAGAGCUCUAUAUACUUGUCUUUCUACUUGGGCAGGUGGGCACAUCAACCCUGCAGUGACCUUUGGCCUGCUGCUGGCAAGGAAGCUGUCCCUGGUCAGGGCUCUGUUCUACAUGGUGAUGCAGUGCCUGGGUGCCAUCUGUGGUGCUGGUGUGGUCAAGGGCUUCCAGACGGGGCUCUAUGAAACUAAUGGUGGUGGAGCCAAUGUUGUUGCCCCUGGCUACACCAAGGGUGAUGGCUUGGGUGCUGAGAUUAUUGGCACCUUUAUCCUUGUUUACACUGUCUUCUCUGCCACUGAUGCCAAGAGGAAUGCCAGAGAUUCUCAUGUGCCUGUAAGCAUUCCUUGCUUUCCCUCAAGAUGGAACUGGUGGCUUUUCUUUCUUUCUAUAUCUCUUGAAUCAAAUAUAAUAACUCUGUUCUGGCUUGUAGUUCUGCAAGAGAAUAUUUGCCAUCUCAGAAACUUCUUGUUCCUUUCCAUUUGGCUGAUGAGAAUUAUUGGGGUUUUGUUGCAGAUUCUUGCUCCCUUGCCUAUUGGGUUUGCUGUUUUCCUUGUCCACCUGGCCACCAUCCCCAUCACUGGCACUGGCAUCAACCCUGCGAGAAGUCUUGGAGCUGCUAUCAUCUACAACAGGCGCCAUGCUUGGGAUGACAUGGUAAGCCUUUUACAUUUGUUCAGAGAUUGGGGUUCUUUUGUAUCAAGUAUCCAGCGCUGAUAAAUUUUGCAAAUUUUUUGGUUAUGUUCUCAGUGGAUCUUCUGGGUAGGUCCCUUCUGUGGAGCUGCCCUUGCUGCCAUCUACCACCAGAUAGUCAUCAGAGCCAUUCCAUUCAAGAGCAGGCCAUGAGCUUGUUUCUGGAUUCUGUUCAUCAGACCUUGUGGCUUCCUUCCAUAUCCAACUUGUCCUGCUGUGGUCUUCCAUUUUAUCUAUCUUCUUUUUCUCUCUCUCUAUUUAAUCCCACUUAAUGUAUUCCAGGACCCACUGUUGUUUAUUAAGUGUGUAAAUUAAGUAAUGAUGUACCACAUCUAGUUUGCUGCUGCUUCAAGAGUUUAUAUUUAUCUUUAUGCUCGUCUCCAUCUCUUACAUCUCAAGCUUAUCCUCUUUAUCAUCAAAAAAGCUGUUGGAAGUAUGGACUAUUCAAGGAGAACUGCUAACAAAAAGAAAGGGGUGGGGUGUAUUUAAAUGAGGAAAGUUGAAAAGGUGGUGGAGUUAGGUAGUACAGUGCAGGGAUGAUGAUGGUAGGUUUCUAGAUUAGAAUUGUUGGAUGAGAAUGGUGGGGAGUGGGGACAUGCAUGCAUCGUCGCAUGGGAUGUCGAUUGGAGUUACUUUGGGCAGCCUGGCCUUGCCUCUUGGUAAGGUAUCUUCAGAGCAGAAUUCCAGAUUCCCCCUCACCAAGACAAGAUGGGAAGGCAUGAUGGCCAAUGACAUGUUACAUGCAGGCAUUAAGCACAAAAGGAAGCUCAAGCCCAGCCCGUGUGUGUGUAUUUAUUGGAGGGAUCACAAGCUGGCCAUGUUUCAGGGGGUUGGAUGGGUGUACUAGUGCGGUGAACUAGAAUCCCUGCAAGCAGCUGAGAUAAGAAGUCAUUAGUAG